rnacentral:lncRNA from 1 species
GUCUGAGAUCUAAUGCUUUUAGUGGUCCUUUUCCAACUGAUCUUCUGGAGCUUGGGAAUUUGACUGGUCUUUAUCUUCAGUUCAAUAAUUUUCAGGGUCCAUUGCCAUGGAAUUUUUCAGUUUGGAAAAAUCUUAAUGGAUUAAAUUUGUCAAACAAUGGUUUCAAUGGGAGUAUUCCUUCUUCAAUUACAAAUUUGACUCAUUUGACUGCUUUGGGUCUUGCUAAUAAUUCUCUUUCUGGUGAUAUUCCUGAUCUGAAUAUCCCUAGUUUGCAACUAUUAGAUCUGUCCAACAAUAAUCUUACUGGAGUUGUGCCUCGGUCUCUUCUUAGAUUUCCUAGUUCAGCAUUUGUUGGCAAUAAGAUUUCACCCGAAACAUCACAGCCUCCAGUUCUUCCCCCCACAGCCCAACCCAAGAAGCAUUCUUCAAAAUUUAGUGAAUCUGCCAUACUGGGAAUUGUAAUUGGCAGUAGUGCACUAGCAUUUGUGUUGAUUGCCUUGUUGUUAAUUGUUACCAACAGAAAGAAAGCAGACGAGAAAGCGAUUGCAGUGAAGUCAGAGAAGAAGGAAAAAUCCCUCAAGAGGACAACUUCCGAGCGUCAUGAUACGAAUGGAAAGCUUGUUUUCUUUGAGGGUUGUAAUCUUGCAUUUGACCUCGAAGAUUUGUUUAGGGCUUCUGCUGAGGUGCUUGGGAAGGGAACAUUUGGUACUACAUAUAAGGCAGCACUAGAGGAUGCAACCACUGUUGCAGUAAAGAGAUUGAGGGAAGUUAGUAUUGGAAGAAAGGAUUUUGAGCAGCAGAUGGAAGUUGUUGGAAAUAUCAGGCAUGAGAAUGUGGCUCCGCUGAGAUCUUACUACUAUUCGAAGGAUGAAAAACUCAUGGUAUAUGAUUUCUACGAUCUGGGGAGUGUUUCUGUAUUGCUACAUGGUAUGCUAAACAUGAUAAUCUCUAUUUUGUCUCUUAAUUUGACUCAAUCAAUCAAAUUUACAAGAGACAAUCUCUAUCUCUCGUCUUUAUUUUUAUUUUUUAUUUUUUAAAAUGUGGCUACAAUCUACUUCAGGUAAUGUCAUCUGGCUUUAACACGCUAGACUAAAUUAUCAUAAAGAGAAGUACUACAGGAUUCACAUAUUGGUCUGAUCAAAUAAAAAAAUCUGUUUAAUCUUAUGCUCUCCCGAUCUGUUCAAUUUUGCUCAGAUUCUACUGUAUGUAAGCAAAAGUUGCUGUGCUUUAUAAAGCCAUAAUUAACUUUAGGUAAAGUCUUGUUCUUUUAGCAUGCCAGGCUAAAUGAUCUAAAAUUGAUAUAAUUUUGUAAGGACAAAACUGAUACAAUAGGUCAGUUUCUGAACAUUUUCACCACUCCACAAUGAAUUGGGACCUGAAAUCUGAUUUUUUUUUUUUUUUGUAGCAAAAAGAGGUGAAGAUCGGAUUCCAUUAGACUGGGAAACACGGAUGAAAAUUGCAAUCGGUGUAGCAAGGGGAAUUGCUUACAUCCACUUACAGAAUGUUGGGAAGCUUGUUCAUGGAAACAUAAAAGCCUCAAAUGUAUUCCUUAACUCACAAAAAUACGGUUGUGUGUCCGAUCUCGGCUUGGCACCAUUGAUGAGUCCAAUUACACCACGAAUAAUGCGAACUGCAGGGUAUCGUGCCCCGGAAAUAACAGACACAAGAAAGGUAUCCCAGGCAUCUGAUGUCUACAGCUAUGGAGUCCUCCUACUUGAACUUCUCACUGGAAAGUCCCCUGUCCACGCUGUUGGUGGUGAAGAGGUUAUCCACUUGGUCCGGUGGGUCCACUCUGUAGUUCGUGAGGAAUGGACUGGUGAAGUGUUUGACGUCGAGCUCUUGAGGUAUCCUAACAUAGAAGAAGAGAUGGUAGCAAUGUUGCAAAUAGGCAUGAGUUGUGUUGCAAGAAUGCCGGAACAGAGACCCAAAAUGGCCAAUGUAGUAAAAAUGGUUGAGGAUAUUAGAAGUGUCAAUACAGACAAUCAGCCAUCUUCUGAAACGAAGUGGCCAGGUUCAACACCAAGUUUAAUACCACCUGUGGCUCAGAUUGGAUCUUCUUCAGUUUCAUAAAUGGUUUCUUCUUUCUUGAAUGUAGUUAAUGUUAUAUAGUUUUCUUUUCCCUGUUUUUUAGUUUUCUUUUUGAAGUGUUGUAUUCUCCAACUAUUCAUUAGGAAAUUGUUGGUCACAUUGUUUGGUUGUUUUAGUAGUUUAUCUCCUUGAAAUUGUUUUACCGACAUUGAUUUAUAACUUGUUGCGUAAGUUGAAGAAAAAGUAGUAUUGUUUAUUGUAAUGUUUUAAUCUUGUAUAGUAUUACUUACUAAACAUGCCUUGUCAACAGGCAGUUUAUAUCAUUGUUUAUUUGUGCAUAUCGUUAACUAUGACUGGCUCAGAAUCAACAUUCUCAUACACAACAAAUUGGAUUAUGCUUUAAAUAUUCUAUAAUUCUGGUGUUGAUCAUUUUCAAGAAUACCAAUUUUCCCCGGAGGAUUUUCAGGGCUGAAGCCGGAAGAUAGACGCAGAUGUGACAAAUCUGACAAGCUUGGAGCUGUGAUUUGGAGAGAGUAACUAUGGCAAAUGUUUCAUGAUCGGACCCCAAGCAUCAGCUCUAUAUUGUCUGAUUUGAGUUUCGAUUCUCAGGUCCAUGAUGUACUUUUUGAUUUUUCCAAAUCCGGAGGUUCCCCUCCACAUCAUCGGCCAUCUCCACCCGCACCUGAAAGGUCCCAGAAGAAUGAAAAAUCUGUUGAGAAUAAGGUGUACCUGCAAUGUGACAUGGUAUGUAAAACACCUUUCUGGUCCGACAUUUUUAUAUUUAUCUCAAGAAAUAUUUUAAGUAAACUAAUUGUUUUAAGCAGCAAAAGUUGUUUUCUUGUGAAUAUAUGCAUUUGUUUGGACAUAUAAAAAUAAAAAGAGAAAUUGUACCAUUUACUUAUGGACUCGUUGUUCAUUACCAUGUCCUAAACUCAUGAAUCAGUUUGUUCAGCUCGCUUUAUAUUUCUUUUGUCUGUUGCCGAUAGUUCAUUUUAACAACAUAUACAUUGAUUAAGAUACAUAAUGCCUUUUUAGUGGUAUCUGUCAUCUGUAUCAUAUAGCAGAACGACACAUUUUAUGGCCUAAGUGGCUAUGCUGAUAGGGAAUGAUUCAUAACUCAAGCGGGUUUUCUUUUCAAUGACGGAAUUUCUACUUGAAGUCAUGUAUCAAAUGGCUUCUACAGAGAUGCUAGAACUAAGCGUAUCGUUGCUAGGUUACUUUCUGGACUUCUUGUGCAUAACCUAAUUAUACCUUAGAAGUAGUUAAUUGUAGCAUGCUCAUUUUUAACACUUGCUAUCACUCAUCUGCCCAGAAAAAAACUGCAAGAGUCGAGCUCAAUUGGACCGAAAAACCGGACUAUGAAUUGCAGCUGGUGCAGCAAGGGGUUUCGUUGACAUUUAUAUAUAUAUUGAGAGUUUUAAAUCUUAGUUGAGAGCAUUGAAAUUUUAUUGUAAACACAAUUGUUAUUGACUAUAGUGGAUCUGUGGUUUUUUCUCGUUUUGAGUUUUCACGUAAAUUUUGAUGUUCUUUAUUUUAUUCUUGUUUAUUUCAUUAUUGUCAUAAUCUUCUGGUCAAAUUCGCAACAAAUGGUAUUAAAGUGUUUCUGAUAUCUUGUUUGUUCGUAUCACUUUCAAUGACAGACUUGUUGCUUGAAGCCAUGUAUCAAAUGGCUUCUACAGAGAUGCUAAAAUUAAGCAUAUCGAUGCUAGGUUACAUUCUGGACUUCUUGUGCACAACCUGAUUAUACCUUAGAAGUAGUUAAUUUUAGCAUGCUCAUUUUUAACUUUGGUAAAUUAAUAUUAAUUAAAAAAGUACUUACACACUGACAGUCUCAAUUUUUUUGUACUUUACGUACAACGGCUGAAAAUUGAUUUUACAUUCAUGCCUAAAAUGACAAAAUUCCAAAUUACAACACUACCCAUAAUGGCACAUAAGACAAUUUUUUGUUGGGAGUUCAAAACAAUUUUGAGGGUAGUUUUAGAAGCACAUAAUUUUGUAUUAAAGAAAGGGUCAAUUGUACAACGUAAAGAAAGUGAUAACAUUGCAUUUCUUCACUUGAGGGCCCACUUCACUAUAGACAACAUUGUUUUCCAAUCAAAAAAGUGUAAAACGAAAGCUAAGGCCAAAUCCAGGGGUGCCACCAUUGGAACAGCCAUCCCUCCAAUAAGGGGGCACCGAGUGGAGCCCCUGGAUUUGGCCCUGGCUUUAAGCCUGGCCAAAUAGUACGGUCCGUCAAAAAAAGGCCGUCAAACAGAGGCUUAAUUGGCUGAAGUAGUGAAGAUGAUGAAGGAUAUUAGUAUGAUUAAUAGAAGAAAUAGCCUUUGGAAGAAGCUUUUAUUAAUUUUCUGAGGGUUGUAAUCCUGGUUUUGGAGUUGAAGAUAUUUUUAGGGCUUCUGAGGUGGUUCUUGUGAAGGGAACAUUCAGAACUCCGUGCAAGGCAACACUGGAUAAUGGAAUUUCAAUUGCUGAAAAGAGAUUGUAAAAUGGGAAUGUCACAACUCACAAAUAAAUAAUUUCAGCAGCAAAUGGAAAUCAUAGGAAGAAUUAGGCACAAAAAUAUUGGUUAUUAAUGGCAUAUUCGAAUUAUGUUUUGUUAAAUUAAAUACAAUAUCUCGACUUGGUGUAUAUGACCUGUGAAUUUCGGAAUUACAACCCUGUUAUUUUUGUAAUUAAAUUUCUGUUGUUUCCUUAUACUAAUCCCACUUUGUUUCACACACUACUCCGUUUGAUUCCAUUUUUAAUCAUUAAUAAUUAAAAAAAAAAAAAAACUGGAACUCUUUCUUUCAAUUUUUAUGACUUGCAAUCGGAACAGACUAGCAAUCAAGUGAAAUUCGUUAGUGUAUGUAUUGUUGAUAAGUAAUAAACUUGAUGAGUUAAGAGUAUACUCCCAUAGAUAAUAAAUUUCAAUUCAAAUUUACUAGUUUUGUAUUGAAUUCGAAUUCGAAUUAUGUGACGAAAGAGUUUUUUAUUUUUUAUUUUUUGUAAUUUAUUCUAAUUAAAUCUUAGAAAUAGGAAAAGUUGUUGCUUGUAUCAAAUUAUGGAUGGUUGUAUGGGACUUAUCUAUUUCAGUUCUCAAUUAUGUUAUUUAGUUCCAUUUACACGUUUUUGACAAUUGAUAUUUAAUGUAUUUAACUUUUUUUUUUUUCAAAAUAAAUUAAGUUUAUUCUAAUCACAACUCAAGUCCAUUCCUAGUGCAAAUUCGAAUGAUUAGUGUUGAUGUCAAAAUUAGUAAGGAUAAUUUUGAACCAACUUUAAGAAAAAAAGCGAUUUAUGCUUAAAAAAGAUCAUAAAGAUGUCAUUUUAGUGUGAUUAUGCCAUAAGUUGUUAUAUGAAUUCGCUCCCUUUUUACAAGAGUCCUAUUCAACUAUUUAUAUAUAGUUUUAGCUGAAAUUACAUCAAAUUAGUCAAAUUAACAACAGUGCCGAGCUCGGAACUUGGUUAACCAAAUUCUCAUGUGAUUGGUCGAUGAGGCCGGUUGUCACGUGUCAAUGUAUUACCUAAGUAAUGAUGACCUGUAAGGGGUUGGAGUUCAAGGACUUGGAAUUGGUUGUUCCGGGUGGCGACGACGUCACCUGUGGCAAGUGUAUCUGAUUGAUAGGGUGAUGUGAUGAAAUGUAAUCAUGAUUUUUUCUAAGAUAACUGCGGGUAACUCCGACCUGAGGGUGUGGGCCGAACUUACAUUUAACUGAGGUGGAGUUAGCGAACUAUUUAUACUAGAUUGGAGUUCGGAUGUCAAUAGUUACCCCCCAGGUCAACUCUACCGUAGGGGGGCUGACCUUAGUGAUGCUUUCUCCAAGAAGUAUAUUUGUUGCUGUGACAAGUGUCAUCUUUUGAGGUGGAUGACCUGUAUGCCAUUUAUAAGUAGCUUCUUCAACAAACUUGGCUAAAACUACGUCAUUUUGUCUCCCAGAUUUUUGAACCGUUGAUAUUUUCCCUCCAUUUCUGGAUGAAUGGCUCAGAUUGUGCCCUCUCGUCUUCUCUUUCUUUAAAUCCCUUUUUGGCCAGUCAUUUCUCCUCCUAUUUCGCUGAUUUUACUUUCUCAAAUAUUUGGGCGAUUUCCUGAGUUCGUAUUUCCGUAUUCGAGUGAGGUUGUGUUCCCAGUUCGUUUCCCAGGUAUCCUUCUGUUCUUAUCUGCUGUCUCCUUUCAGUUUGUGCUUUGUUUCCUAGUUUAUACAUGAGUUCGGACGAGUCUAGAGUUCAUUCCUAGGGCAACCAGCAGGAAGAGUCAGUCUCCUUCUCGACGAGUUCAUCUUCUAGUUAUAGGGAAGUUUUUACGCCCAUUCCUAUUUUCGUAAUUAACCCGACUGACUUAGGGCGUCCUGUCAUGGACUUAGGACGUGAGGGUUCCAAGGAAGCAUGUAGAUCCAGUAAGGAUGUUGACAAGAGUAAUUCUGGGAAAUGGGGGGCGAGUUCUUAUAGGUCGGUUGUGACAGGGGAUGUGUUAGCUAGCUGGUGAGCUAAAUACACCAUCCCUAGUUUCGUAGUUAUGAUAUACCAAAGCCAUCUGACCGAGCUGACACUCCUCCUGAGGAAUGUGUUGCUCUGAACUCGGCUAUCCUUCAGGCCGGUCUUAGGCUUCCUUUUCCUAGGGUGAUUCGUAAAUCCUUUCUUCCUGGGGCAUAGCUCCCACGCAGCUAUGCCCUAACGGGUGGCGAACCUUAAUAGCCACCCUUAUUUUGUGGAACCAAAUGGAGAAUCCAGAGUUAAGUGUCCAGUAGUUCGAUUCUCUGUUUACUUUUAAGGAGGAUGGGAAGAACUCGGGUUGGUGGUACACAAGCGUUAGGCCCAGGACGAGAGGUUCUCUGGUGUUAGAUACCCCUUCCUCAAUUAAGAAAAUGGAAGGAAGAGUGGUUCUAUGUAUCGGGGAAGUGGCAGUUUCAUUCUGUCGAGGUGAAUAGGGAGGACGUGGUUCCCAAGCUCUAUCAAUCGUUAUGUAAGUGUCUUUUUGGAUUUUAGUCUUUUAGUAAGGCGUAUGUUGACGAAGUACUGACCUCGGUAUUUUUUUCUUUGUGCAGAUUACAAGAAGGAGACGUUAACCAAGAGACGAGUUGAGGUAAUAAUCAUUACCUAAAAAGCAAAGGUCUUGUAAGCUUGUAAUCUUAGAUUCAAACUUAUACCAGGCCGGAUUGUUGCAAGUACGAGCUUCAAGUUCGGCUACAUCUAAUUCAGGUAAUAUUUUGACCUUCAUUCGCGGUUCUGAUUUCUUUAUGUAUAUACAUAUUUACUGGGCAUUUCAUUGCUUUCUUAGAUCAUCAGGACAAGAUGCAGGGCUACAAGGCAGCAAAGGCAGCAGCUGCGGCUAAGGGAAAGAAGAGAGAAGUCCCAGAACGGAUGGAGAGCCGUUCUGAAGAGGUGGAGGAGGUUCCAUUCAAGAAGAACCGAUCUGCACCCUCGGCAUCACUGAGAAUUCCUGAGGUAGUGCCUUUGCCGAGCCCGACCAUGCCGUCCCCUUCAUUGCCAUCCCCAACUGCCUUUUUUGCUGUCGGGACCAAUUUUGCGAACUUGCAGGAUCGGUGUCCAGAUUUACAGAGGCUGAGCUGGGAAAGUCUGGUGGGACACAGACCAUAAAUAAUUUUAGACUAUCUCCGAGUUCCUUCUCUUUCUAGGGGAAUGAUUGCCACGCUUACUUCACCUUUGAGGGAGUCGGCCAAUCUACUUACCCAGAGCUGGGGUGAGAGAGAGCAGGGUUAUCUGAAUGAGAUGUCCAUUGGUGAGGCCUUGGUCACUGCUCAGUUCCAUGGUCACCGAUCAGUUUUAUACAUGAUGGUAGUGGCGGAUAAGGUAUACCUCUUACUUGAUUUUUGAUUUUUGAAAAAUAGGUGAAGUCCUAGCUGGACAAGUUCAUAGAGGCAAAGGAUCAGGUUUUCAAUCUUUACAACAGCAUGGAGGCUGAAAAGGCCCAGUUCGCUCUGAGGAAGAAGGAGUAUGAACAGAAGCUAAACCAGAUGGGGAUCGAGCUAAACUUCAGGCUCGAUGUCGAGGAGAGAUUGAUGGAGGGGAUCAAGGCGUUGAGGGCCUCAGAGGAAGAGGCCAGAGCUCGGGCAGAAGAGGAGCGCGACAAAGUCAGAGAGGCCAUCUAGAAGGUACAAGAGGCCAACGAAAGGGCGAGGCAGGCCACAAAAAGGACUGAAUAGGCUGAGGCCAAGAUUGACAGAGCGGUGGAGGCUUGGAAGGAGUCCUUCGAGUUUGACAUCAUAGCCCAGGAUGUCUACGUGGUAGCACUGGAGGAGUUGGUGGGGCACAUAAGGAAGGAGAGGCCUGAUUUUGAUGUGGCCUUUCUGGAUGAGGCACUGGAAGGGCAGAAGGAGGAGUUGCGGAGGUUGUCGAAGUCUGCUAGAGUCCAGGUAUUACCGACAGCUCAGGAUGUUGAAGAUACUACCCCAGCCCCCCAAGACCCUUAGGCGGUUAAAAACAUUAAUUUUUGGUAUUUAGUUUUGCCAUAUGUUUUUGGCUUACGAAUGAACUUUGUUUUGAAUGGUUAUGACAUUUUGUUUGGAAUAGAUAAUUGUUUAUGCUCAGUAUGGCUUUUUAUUUAUUUAUUUACUUAAAUAAUUCCUCAUAAACUUAGCUAAAUUUGUAAGAGUGUUACAAUAGCAUGUUGAAUUAUCUUGAAUGAAUUUUACUUAGUUGUGCAGUGCUUGCUUUCCAAACCAAGCUUAUACAUUGGACAUUUUUACUAAGUGUAGUACCACGUACGGCCUUAGCUCGUCCUACGUGUAGAGCAGGGCUUUAUAGAUUCUUUAGGAGGGUUUUUUCACUAAGUGUCGUAGUACAUACAACCUUAGAUCGGCUUGCGUAUGGAGCAGUGCUUUGUGAGAUUCCUUAGGAGGAAAUUUUCACUAAGUGUCGCAGCACAUAUGACCUUAGAUCGGCCUGCGUAUGGAGCAGGGCUUUAUGAGAUUCCUUAGGAGGAAUUUUCACUAAUUGUCGCAGCACAUACGACCUUAGAUCGGCCUGCGUAUGGAGCAGGGCUUUAUGAGAUUCCUUAGGAGGAAUUUUCACUAAUUGUCGCAGCACAUACGACCUUAGAUCGGCCUGCGUAUGGAGCAGGGCUUUAUGAGAUUCCGACAGAUUGUUAAGUAAAAUGUUCAAAAAAUGGGAAGUCUCUUUUUAUUGAUGGGAUUGACAUUACAAGGGGGUUUUUUCCGUUCACUAGUAGUACUGCUUAAGGUGUUCGGCAUUCCAAUGAUGGUGUAAGGAUCUACCCCCAAGUCUUCCAGUUCAUAUGUUCCUUUUAGCAGGACCUUCGUUAUCAGAUAGGGACCUUCCUAAUUCGGACCCAGGCAUCCACUGUCGAUCUCUCUUGUGGGGAGGAAUACCUUCUGUAAGACGAGGGAUCCUACCUCAAAUUCUCUUUUUCGCACUUUUUGAUUAUAGUACUUGGCAUUCCGCUGUUUGUAAACGACAUUCUUGAGUUCGACGUUGUUCCUUUUUUUCUCGGUUAGGUCGAGUUCCGUGCGAAGAGCUAUGUGGUUCCUUUCUUCGUUGUAAUCAGUUAUGCGCAGCGAAGGAAUGUUGAUUUCUAGUGGGAUCACGACCUCUAUGCCGAAAGCCAGUGAAAAUGGGGUUUCUCCUGUGCUUGUCCUUGCAGUAGUACGAUAAGACCAUAACACACUGGGGAGUUCUUCGGCCCAUCCUCUUUUAAACAAGUCGAGUUAUGCUUUCAAUGUGUGCUUAAUAAUCUUGUUAAUGGCUUUGACUUGUCCGUUUGCUUGUGGAUGGUUUGGUGAUGAGAAAUGUUUCUUGAUGCCGAGCUCUUCGCAAAAAUUCGAAAGUCGUGCGUUGUGGAACUGUUUUUCAUUAUCCAUAACAAUGGAGUGAGGUAUGCCGAACCUGCAGAUCAUUAAUUUUCACAAAAAGUUGAUUGUUUUCUGUUCGGUGAUGGUGGCAAGGGGUUCUGCCUUGGCCUAUUUAGUGAAUCCACUACGACGAUAGCAAUUUUACCCCUCCUUUUCCAACGGGCAUGGGUUCAAUUAGGUCAACCCCCCAUUUUGCAAAGGGCCAAGGUGCUGUUAUUGGGUUCAGUUUGCGGGGUGGAGUAUUUAUGAUGGGGGCGAGGCGCUGGCACUUGUCGCAUCUUUUGACAAAUUUGAGCGAAUCUCGUCUUAUUGCAGGCCAAAAGUAUCCUUGUCGUAUGAUCUUGUGGGCUAGUGAGAGUCCACCGGAAUGGUUUCCACAUAUUUAGUCGUGAACGUCCUGUAGGGCAUGCUGAGCUUUCUCUUCGUUCAAGCACCUUAACAAGGGCGUGGAAUAUCCCCGUUUAUAUAGUAUAUUAUUAAUGAGAGUGUACCUGGCCGACCUUGUUCGGAGCUUUCUGGCCUCUACAGAGUUUUCGGGAUAUUUUUCGAUUUUCAAGUAAGCGAUGAUCUUGUCCUGCCAAGUUGGUUUGGGGUUUAUCAUCAUAAGGACCACUUUAUCCAGCUCGGUGGACGGUAGGGAUAUUCUUCCUACGGGGAUGCUAUCGAACUCCUCGAUUCCUUCACUGGUGGCUAGGCGGCCAGUGCAUCGGUGUGUGAUUGUUCUGAGAUCGGGGAAUUUGUUAGACUUAGGUGGCGUUGAACCUUUCAAGUUCUUUUUUCACAACUCGUAGGUAGUUGUCCAUCCUGUCUUCUUUCACCAUAUAUACACCGUUGACCUGAUUCACGACUAGUUGGGAGUCGCUAUGUAGAAUUAGGUCGGAGAUCCCUAGUCCUGAGGCCAUCUUUACUCCAGCAAUAAGAGCUUCGUACUCAGCCUCAUUAUUUGAGGCUUUGAAGUCAAAUGGUAGGGCUUCGCAGAACAUACGGUGAUCAGGGCUGACUAAUACGACGCCAGCUCCAGAUCGUUCUCCAGUGGAUGAACCGUCGACAUAAAGUUUUCAAGGGGUUUCUUUCUGUUGUUCUUCAAUUGGGACGUUGCAGAACUCAGAGACAAAGUCGGCGAGUGCCUGGCCCUUUAUGGAGGAACGAGGCGUGUAUUUGAUAUCGAAUUGUCCGAGUUCUACUGCCCAUUUUACCAUCCAUCCAGAGGUGUCGGGCCUUUGUAGCGUUUGCCUCAAUGGAGAGCUGGUGAGGACCUCAAUGGGGUGUUCCAAAAAAUAUGGCCUAAGUUUUCGCGCUGCCAUCAGCAGGGUAAAUGCUAGUUUUUCUACAGCCGAAUAUCUGAGCUCGGCUUUGCGAAGCGCUUUGCUUAUGUAAUAAAUCGAAUGUUGAACGCCAUUUUCUUUUCGUGUUAGAAGGGCACUAAUGGCAUGCUUUGAAACAGAUAAAUAUACCUUCAGGGCCUCGCCUGCCUUAGGUUUUGAAAGCAAUGGAGGUUGGGUUAGUUGUCUCUUUAGCUCAUUAAAGGCGACCUGGCAUUCUUUGGUCCAUUCGAACUUCUUUCCUCCUCGUAACGUGUUGAAGAAGGGUUUGCAGUGGUCCGUAGAUUUGGAGACGAACCGACUGAGGGUGGCAACCCUUCCAGUUAAACUUAGUACCUCUCUGGGUUUGGUUGGAGACUUCAUUUGGAUGAUAGCUCGUAUUUUUUCAGGGUUUGCCUCGAUUCCUUGGUUGUUUACAAUGUAACCUAGAAAUCUUCCAGAACUGACCCCGAAAGCAUGUAUCCUCGAGUUCAACUUCAUUCCAUACUUCCUCAGUAUAUCAAACAUUUCGGUUAGGUAUUGACAGUGGUCCUUGGCCUUGAUGCUUUUGACCAGCAUAUUGUCAACAUACACUUCCUUUGUCUUUCCAAUCUGCUAGGAAAACAUGGAAUUCACAAGUCGCUGGUAGGUCGCGCUAGCAUUUUUGAGACCGAAUGGCAUUACUCUAUAGUAGUAAAGAUCUCGAUCAGUUACAAACGAGGUAUGUUCCUGAUCCGGGCCGAACAUGUUAUCUAGUUGUACCCGGAAUACGCGUCCACGAAGCUAAGUAGCUCUUGUACAGUGGUGGCAUCCACUAUUUGAUCUAUUCUUAGCAAUGGAAAGCUGUCUUUGGAGCAUGCUUUGUUGAGAUCGGUGAAAUCUAUGCAUACCCUCCAAUCUCCGUUGUCUUUUUUCACAAGGACCGGAUUCGCGACCCACUUCGGGUGUUUCGCUUCAUGGAGGAAACCGUUGUUCAAUAUCUUUUGCACCUCUUUGUUGAGUGCUUUAUAUCUUUCAGAGUUCAGAGGUCGUCGUUUUUGCUGCUUUGGCCGAACUGUAGGAUCCACCUGUAAUUUGUGGCAUGCAAUAUUAGGAUCUAUUCCUCUCAUGUCACUGUGAUCCCAGGCGAAGAUAUAGAGGUUCUGUUUAAGGAAAGCCACAAUCUUGCAUCAGGUGGAGGGCUGCAACUCGCACCCGACUUCGAGCUCUUUUGUUUGGUCCUUAGCACAUACUCGAACUCUUUCUAGUUUUUCAACAGGUUCUCCACCUUCGAUCUUGGCCUGUGGGUCUAAGGGAAUGAGUUCGGAUUCCCAUAUGUUCUCCAUAUGUACUCCCGGGGAGCUACGUUGAUGGCUGGCACAGGUUUUCCAUUGACAUCUUUCAGCGAGCUCUCUGUUUUCUUUGACUUUCCCCACAUCGUGGGGUGUGGGAAACUUGAUAGAAUAGUGAUAUAGGGAAACUACUGCUCUUAGGCUGAAGAGUAGGGGUUGUCCUAUCACAGCGUCAUAAGGGGAUGGGGUAUCGAACACCACGAAAUUGGAGUUCGUCUUUACCUGUCAGGGUGCUGAUCUAGACUCAACUUUGAGUUCGAUUGAUCCUUUGGUAGAAGUCAAGGCUCCGCUUUAUCCUAGGACCAUAUUUGGGUAUGGUCGAAGAGAGGUAGCACGUAUACCUAUCCAUUUAAGGGUGUUGCUAAAUAGGAUGUUCAGAGAGCUUCCUGUAUCCACCAAGACUUUAUGGAUGGUUACCCCGGCUACAGGGAACGAGAUUACCAUAACUCCAUGGUGAGGGUAUGGGUCCGCGGUGAGGGUAUGGGUCCGCCUCCUUCUCGUCAAAGGAUAGUGACUCGUCUGUGGUUUUUUUGAGAUUCUUUUCCGUUAUGUCGAUCUCUGAGAAAUCUGCAACGAUUGGUCUCUUUGGCCUGGCUUCCUCGGCUUGUGUGUUCGUCCUACUACUUAGCAUGUUAACUUGUGGUCUUGGAAGGUUGACGUUGCUGGCCCUUGCAGUAGCUUGAUCUCCUUGGAUAAUUCCAGUCCCGUAAGGGGUGCGGAAUUUCACGCAAUAAUGACAAAUUGACAUGGCAACCUUUAGUUCGUGCAAAAUGGGUCGUCCCAAUUUGCAUUGUAAUUGGACGGUAAAUCGACCACCACAAAAUUCGCUAGGAUUCUUCUUGGGCGAGGAGCUUCACCCAGCUCCACAAUAAGGAUUAUCUAACCUAGGGCUUCGAUAGGAUCCCCAGAAAAUCCCUGUAGCUUCCUUGGAUAUGGUUGGAGGUAGCGGACUGAUAUUUCCAACUGCUUUAAGGUUCGUGAGUACAGUAUGUUGACCGAACUUCCAUUGUCCACUAGAGUGCGGUGGACUUUUACUCCAACAACCAUCAUUGUGACCACUAGUGCAUCACUCCGAUCUUGAAGGAUUCCUUCAGAAUCUUCUUCCGUGAACUAGAAUGAUUCAGGGUCUAUGCUGGUCCUAGGGAUUUGAUUCCAAUAGUUCGGCACGAUUUUUGCACUUCGGGCUUGCCUUCGCCUGGACCUUCUGAAUCCUUCAAUAUACUGAUUUCUACCCACCAUCAUUUUGAUUUCGACAUGUGGAGGUGGGUUACGGAUAGGGAUUGCCUACAGGGCUCGUGUGGGAGCCCCCUGUAGCAGUGGUUGCUAGCGUCGUAGGUUGAUCUGCUUCUUUUCGCUUGGCAACAAACUCCUAUAACCGACCUCUUCGAAUUAAGGAUUCAACUUCCUCUUUUAAGUCCCAGCAGUUAUCAGUGUCAUGGCCCAUCGUCAUGUGGUAUCGACACUAUCGUCCCUGGCGUUGUGCGGCCUAUCCGUCCUUUAGGACUAUAGGUCUGUGAAAUGCUCCUUGUGUAUUGGCUUGCGUGAAUACCUCUUCCAAGGAGGCUUUGAGCGGGUGGUACUCCCGGAACUUGUAUGGCUAAGCCCUGGGAUGUUAUCUUUCUCUCCUAUCCUUCUUUCUUUUUGGGGUGGGGGUUGGGGUUGUUUUUUUUUUUUUUUUUUUUUUAUUUCACCACAUCACUGAGGUCAAUUUCGCGUCUUGCUUUCUCUUGGCCAGAGGUUGCUUCUUCAGUGCUUAUAGAUUUCUCAGCUCGAUUCAGGAACUCGUGAUAAGUCCUUGGGCCGUCCUUGUGUACUGACCACCAAAAUCUCGUUUUGGGUCUUAGUCCUGCUAAUACGACCAUAAAUGCCACAUCGUCAGAUAUUUUUUCCACUUUCAUGGAUUGCUUGUUGAACCUACUCAGAUACAUUUUGAGGGAUUCACUUCUUUUCUACUUGAUGCUCACUAGAUGUUCUUUGGUUGUAGUUCUUGCCUUGGAGCCCAUAAACUGGGCCAAGAAUGCCGUGGCUUGAUCAUUCCAAUCCUUUACCGACCUUUCGUGUAGUCUCCUAAACCAUCUUUGGGCUUUGUCUCCUAGAGUCAGGGGAAAUGUCCAGCACAUGAUUGCGUUGCUUGUCCCCUGUAGGUCCAUCCACGAGGUGUAUUUGUCAAAGUGGCUAAGGGGAUCACCAUCCCCUUCGUAUGCACCGAUCUGGGGAAUUUUCAAUUUUUCAGGUAGUGGUUCUAUAAGGACAUCCUCGGUGAAAGGGAAAUGUCGUUUGGUUUGUAACCUUCAGUGUCACCUUUAUUUUUAGCCUCGAGUUCGGCGUUGCAUUUUUUAAGCUCGCUUAGUCCGGGUUCUGUUUGUUCCAAUGGACGUUUCAGGUCGGUUUGUCCUUGCGUAGGCGUCAGCAAGUGAUGGGUCCCCAAUCUGUCGAACACACUUGCAGUCCUUCUCGCCUCGGGUUCUUUGCUUUUGGCCUCGUCGGUUUGGCUUCUUGAUGAUUCUCCUCUUGAAAAGUGGAGAGUCCUCCUGGUGGGAGAAUGCUUUGCCUUUGUCUUUAUAGGGGAUUCCAUCUUGAUAUUUGGUAGGGACGAAUGGGCUUGGCUCUUUUCCAGUCGUCCCAUUCCGUUUGUCAAUUUUUCCAGGGCUUCCCUCAUUACGAUCAUUUGAAGGUCCUGUCGUUGUGGAGAACUUAGUGGUAUAUUCCUUUCAUGAGGGUGGGUGUGAGAUAGAUUUCUGGAACUUGAGCUAUGACUUAUGGCUCUCGAAAUUUUUAUGGAGCAAAUGAAACUAUUUUUCACAAUUAGGGGCCCUCCUUCUAGCGCCAAACUGUUGAUGUCAAAAUUAACAAGGAUAAUUUUGAACCAACUUUAAGAAAAAAUGUGAUUUAUGCUUAAAAAAGAUCACAAAGAUGUCAUUUUAAUUCAACUAUUUAUACAUAGUUUCAACCGAAAUUACAUCAAAUCAGCAACAGUGCCGAGCUCGGAACUCGGGUCGCCAAAUUCUCUUGUGAUUGGUCAAUGAGGCUGGUGGUCAUGUGUCAAUGUAUUACCCAAGUAAUGAUGACCUAUAAGGGGUUGGAGUUCGAGGACUUGGAAUUGGUUGUUCCGGGCGGCGAUAACGUCACCUGUGGCAAGUGUAUCUGAUUGAUAGGGUGAUGUGACAAGGGGUAAUCAUGAUGUUUUUCUAAGAUAACGGCGGGUAACUCCGACCUGGGGGUGUGGGCCGAACUUACAUUUAACUAAGGUGGGGUUAGCGAAUUGUUUAUACUAGAUCGGAGUUCGAAUGUCAACAAUUAGUAUGUAUUAAUUUUAUUACGUUCUAAACUUAUUAUGAGUUUCCCAAUACGAAAAUAAGUAACUAAUUAUCUAACUACUGAUCAAGCAAAUAAAUAAUACAAUGAAAAUGUAAAAUUAAUCAAGAAACACAAGAAAUACUAAACUAUUAAAUUUGAAUUGAAAUACAUAAAUAAUAGCAUUGUUUCAUCUCCAUCCCAUACAAAAAUAGAUCUAGCUUGAUAUGAUUUUAUAAAAAUUACAAAAAGAAGAGUAGAGAAAUAUCAUCUGAUCAUGAAAUAUUGCAAAAGGUAUUGAUCUUCAAGCUCGUGAUUACAAUUUCUUUAUGUAAUUGACAUCCAAUUCUUGUAGGGUUUGACAUUCUCUCUCAACAUAUAGCAAUUGGCCUCUUGUUUUUUAUGAAUUUUAUAAUUUGAAUGUUUAAUUAGAGGCUAGACGAAAAUGUUCAAAUUGAGUUCCAAUCAAAUAAAGAAAGUAGCAUUCAUGUCGCGCAUUGUUAAGUCUUUGCGUAGUUUUCAGUAUUUUUGUCAUAACUUUCUCGAUUGAAGUGAUUCAAUGUUUAUUGGAAAGCUAACUCAAAGCAAUACAAUUAGGGUGCAUUUGAUCGUGACAAUGAAAUUUGUAUUGAAAGAAAAUAAAAUCUAGACAAUUCAAUUUCUUAAAACUUAUUUAUAUGGAAAUUAUUAUUUAAGUGUGUUUGAUUAAUUUAGUUUACAAUUUAAAAACUAUUAUACUAUCUAUUUUUUUAGGUAAAUGAGAGAGACUGGAUAUAUGAGACAGAGAAAGAGAGUGAAUUAUAUGAAAAAUAAAAAUCACCCCCUAAAAAUAUGUUUUCAUUAUUUUUAAUGAAAAUAUGAUUACAUAACUAAAAGUCGAAAAAUAUUUUCCAUAGAAAAGAUUGAUAAUCAAACACUUCAAAAGUAGAAGUUUGGGUGGAAAAAUAACAUUUUUCAUGGAAAAUUAUACUAUCUAUUUUUUUAGGUAAAUGAGAGAGACUGGAUAUAUGAGACAGAGAAAGAGAGUGAAUUAUAUGAAAAAUAAAAAUCACCCCCUAAAAAUAUGUUUUCAUUAUUUUUAAUGAAAAUAUGAUUACAUAACUAAAAGUCGAAAAAUAUUUUCCAUAGAAAAGAUUGAUAAUCAAACACUUCAAAAGUAGAAGUUUGGGUGGAAAAAUAACAUUUUUCAUGGAAAGUAAAGUUGAUUGAACACGAACUUAUAAAUUUGUGUUGAAAUAGUAUGCUUCCAACUCAAACAUUUACUAUGUCAAAAUAAGUCUCAAUCUCUAAGAAAAAAUCUAGAGCAUAACUUUUGUGGUUGAAAAUUUAAUAGUGAAAAAUACUUUGACUAUAUUUCACUCUUUUGACUACUUAUUACAUCCUAUUGAUUUUAUACGAUCUUUAAUCAUCGUUUUAUGGUUUGAAUCAACUUUUAAUUUCCUUUAUUUUUGCCCCUUUUUGCUCGUCUUCAAAUUCACUCAAUUUGUCUCAAAUUUUAUCUAACAAAUAAGAUUAACACAAAAUUAAACUAUAAUUCAUUCAAAUCAACAACAAAUGCCCUAGUUUAAUAGUCCUGAUAAAUGUACAAAAUAUACUUAUCAAAUAUCCCAAAUUUGAACAUUUAUUUGUCCUCAAAUAAAACUAUAACUUAACUUAAAUAAAAUUUAAAACAAACAUGAUUAGAUAACCUACCUUUAGUCUCAGAAUUGAAAAUUUUGUAUUAAACUACAUAUUGCUUCAAACUCAUAUUGCUAAAAUUAAUUUUUACUUAUCCAAUACAAACCGACCUCUGUGUGUGUGAAGAUUAAUGUAAAGUAUAUCAAAUUUAUAAUGUAAUUCAAAUCCCCAACCCUCAAUGAUCAAAUUUAUUCUUUUUAACUCUUUUAAGAUGUGAUCUAAGGUUGAAUUCAUAUAAUAGUCAUCACCCUCUCUAAUUUAAUUAGAUUUUACUAAUUGCACCUCAAUAUAUCAACAUAUGAGGAUUUUCCUUAUUUUUGACUGUUUCAAACCUCCAAGAAUCAACCAUACUAAUAAUCCAUCGUCAAAUGUCUAAUUCUCUAAUAUAAGUAUUUAUAGCUUAGCCAAGGCAUGUAGUAUGCUAAUUUUUUUUUUUUAAUUGCUUUUUCACAUCUUAUGUGUGGACUUCUUUUCAUUAAAAUUUCUAAAUAAUUCUUGUAGGGAGCUCUUGGCCGAUGACUUCCAAGUUAAAUGACUAUAGAGCACCAUGUUUUAGUUAUCCUUGUAUGCUUAAUCACUUGAGUCAUAAAGGCUGCAAAGUGACAUUUCACAAUUAGGCAGCUCUUUUUUCUUCUUUCUCUCUCUCUUUUUUUUUUUUGGCCAUAAAUAGUGCAAUAUCCCUUAUUAAACAUUUAUUCUCAAAAAAUUGAUCCAACUUAAGAUUUUCAACUAAUUUUUAUCUUAUUGACUUUAGACAAUUUACACAAAAUUUAGCAUAUAUGGAAUCCAUAUUUAUCUCAAUAUCCUUCUACAACAAAUCAAUCAUCCCAAACUAUCAUUUAAUUGGUUUAAAGAUAUAUAAUUGAGUGUCUAAUUGUGUUUAGCAUCCAAUAUCCACUAUUUUUAAUAUAUUCAAAUUUUGAAUCAAUCUAAUCCUUCAUGUUGCAAAACAUAAGUUUUGUACGCAAAAAUAUCAAAUUUAACAUAAAUAAGCAUAAAUUAACCCCAAAUAUGCAACAAUUUCAUAAUUUAGAGCUUACCAUAUGAUUCACAAAAAAUAAUAAUAAAAAUAAAAAUAAAUAAUAAUAAUAAUAAAAUAAAAAAUAAUAUAUAUAUAUAUAUAUAUAUAUAUAUAUAGUAGGUGAGUUUUAUCUAAUUUACACAAGCAUACAAAAACAUUAAUAAAGGUCAAAAUAACAUAUUUUUCUGAAUUUUUAGAUUUUUUGUAUUGCACAUACAAGCACACAAACAGUAAAAAUAAAUAACAUGCUUAAUCUUUCCCACCUUUAAAUUUAUAAUGAACAUUGCCCUCAACAUCUAACAAUAUAACAAGCAAAAUAUAUAAAAAAAAAAAAAAAAAAGGCAAGGAAAGGAAUUAAGUACUCACCAAGUAUAUCUGUAGGUGGUGGAUGGACUAUCAUGAAAGCGUUAGAUCACUUGCUAUAUCUUUUCCAUUGUCCUAUGUGUUUAGGUGUCGUGUUCUUUCAAAAUAAAUAAAAAUUCAUUAGAAUAUAGGACAAUUUAUAUUAAGUUCAAACACAACCGAAAGGAAAAUAUGGGGAUAAAGAUACUUAUACUAAUAAAAGAAAUAAAAUUUACUAAUCCUACAUUCUACAGAACAAUAUAAAUGAAAGGGAAGAAAAUUGAGUUGCCUUUCAAAAAGCGCUAAUUUAUAGCAAUUAACUCGAUUUUAUGUUUUAGCUAUUCAUGGUGGCUUGAAUACCCUAUAUGUUGUUUAAUGAUUUUUAUACAUUAGGAAAACUUUUUGAAAAAAUAUUAGGAUAAAAUGGAAAUCUCUUUGUCAAAGCGUUUAGCAACAAAAAGUAUUGAGUACUGUGAUUAUGGAUCCUAUCUCGAUCACAUACUGAACUAACAAGGUUGAAUAAUAUGGUAUUUGAUCGGGAGUCAGUAAAUUCUUGAUUUCUCAAAUUUACAAAUAUUCCCAGUAUGUUAUGCGUAAUUAAAUUGCUUUACUAUAUCUCUCUGUAAACUCUCAACUUGGAUUGGAUUUGACAGCAAAGAGUUGCUUAACGUUUCCGUGUCAGUGGAGUCUUGUCCAUGUUUAUACACAAGAAAUAUUAAUCAGGAAAGAAAAAUGAUUGUUAUUGGGGUACAUAAUUUUGGGUCCAUAAAAAUGUUCAUACACUUACAUGGCUUGGAUUUAUCCAAAAAUAAGUUAAAAAUCUGGUCGUCCUCUUAUUGUAUCAUAGGUUAAAUAUUUAGCAGAAAUUCCACUUGUACAGAAGAAAAAUAGAAAACUCACCCACCUCAUGUGCUGUGUGUGAUCUGUACGUAUUUUGUCAAAUCAAUUUCUGUAUGUGUGAUGUGGUUGAAUAUUUAGUUGUCAAAAACUAAUUUAUUGAUUAGGACAGCUUGCGGUAUAUAUUAAUUAAUUAAUCAAUACUAACUUUAGCUCGGGCACAUUUAGUUUGGUUGAUAUAUUUUGAUUCGAGAAUUGUGAAUUGUUUGUCCCUCUUAUUAUUAUUAUUAUUAUUAUUAUUAUUAUUAUUAUUAUUAUUAUUAUUAUUAUUAUUAUUAUUAUUUUUCUUGAUUGAUAGAAUAUUUAUACACCGGUCCGAUAAUAUUGAAUACGCCAACUUAUAAAAUCUGUCAAAUGUCAUCCAAUACUAAAUAUGCAUUGUGGAGCUGUGAUAGUUAAACGAAGACUAGGCUUCAUACAAAAAUUUAUACCUUNNNNNNNNNNNNNNNNNNNNNNNNNNNNNNNNNNNNNNNNNNNNNNNNNNNNNNNNNNNNNNNNNNNNNNNNNNNNNNNNNNNNNNNNNNNNNNNNNNNNNNNNNNNNNNNNNNNNNNNNNNNNNNNNNNNNNNNNNNNNNNNNNNNNNNNNNNNNNNNNNNNNNNNNNNNNNNNNNNNNNNNNNNNNNNNNNNNNNNNNNNNNNNNNNNNNNNNNNNNNNNNNNNNNNNNNNNNNNNNNNNNNNNNNNNNNNNNNNNNNNNNNNNNNNNNNNNNNNNNNNNNNNNNNNNNNNNNNNNNNNNNNNNNNNNNNNNNNNNNNNNNNNNNNNNNNNNNNNNNNNNNNNNNNNNNNNNNNNNNNNNNNNNNNNNNNNNNNNNNNNNNNNNNNNNNNNNNNNNNNNNNNNNNNNNNNNNNNNNNNNNNNNNNNNNNNNNNNNNNNNNNNNNNNNNNNNNNNNNNNNNNNNNNNNNNNNNNNNNNNNNNNNNNNNNNNNNNNNNNNNNNNNNNNNNNNNNNNNNNNNNNNNNNNNNNNNNNNNNNNNNNNNNNNNNNNNNNNNNNNNNNNNNNNNNNNNNNNNNNNNNNNNNNNNNNNNNNNNNNNNNNNNNNNNNNNNNNNNNNNNNNNNNNNNNNNNNNNNNNNNNNNNNNNNNNNNNNNNNNNNNNNNNNNNNNNNNNNNNNNNNNNNNNNNNNNNNNNNNNNNNNNNNNNNNNNNNNNNNNNNNNNNNNNNNNNNNNNNNNNNNNNNNNNNNNNNNNNNNNNNNNNNNNNNNNNNNNNNNNNNNNNNNNNNNNNNNNNNNNNNNNNNNNNNNNNNNNNNNNNNNNNNNNNNNNNNNNNNNNNNNNNNNNNNNNNNNNNNNNNNNNNNNNNNNNNNNNNNNNNNNNNNNNNNNNNNNNNNNNNNNNNNNNNNNNNNNNNNNNNNNNNNNNNNNNNNNNNNNNNNNNNNNNNNNNNNNNNNNNNNNNNNNNNNNNNNNNNNNNNNNNNNNNNNNNNNNNNNNNNNNNNNNNNNNNNNNNNNNNNNNNNNNNNNNNNNNNNNNNNNNNNNNNNNNNNNNNNNNNNNNNNNNNNNNNNNNNNNNNNNNNNNNNNNNNNNNNNNNNNNNNNNNNNNNNNNNNNNNNNNNNNNNNNNNNNNNNNNNNNNNNNNNNNNNNNNNNNNNNNNNNNNNNNNNNNNNNNNNNNNNNNNNNNNNNNNNNNNNNNNNNNNNNNNNNNNNNNNNNNNNNNNNNNNNNNNNNNNNNNNNNNNNNNNNNNNNNNNNNNNNNNNNNNNNNNNNNNNNNNNNNNNNNNNNNNNNNNNNNNNNNNNNNNNNNNNNNNNNNNNNNNNNNNNNNNNNNNNNNNNNNNNNNNNNNNNNNNNNNNNNNNNNNNNNNNNNNNNNNNNNNNNNNNNNNNNNNNNNNNNNNNNNNNNNNNNNNNNNNNNNNNNNNNNNNNNNNNNNNNNNNNNNNNNNNNNNNNNNNNNNNNNNNNNNNNNNNNNNNNNNNNNNNNNNNNNNNNNNNNNNNNNNNNNNNNNNNNNNNNNNNNNNNNNNNNNNNNNNNNNNNNNNNNNNNNNNNNNNNNNNNNNNNNNNNNNNNNNNNNNNNNNNNNNNNNNNNNNNNNNNNNNNNNNNNNNNNNNNNNNNNNNNNNNNNNNNNNNNNNNNNNNNNNNNNNNNNNNNNNNNNNNNNNNNNNNNNNNNNNNNNNNNNNNNNNNNNNNNNNNNNNNNNNNNNNNNNNNNNNNNNNNNNNNNNNNNNNNNNNNNNNNNNNNNNNNNNNNNNNNNNNNNNNNNNNNNNNNNNNNNNNNNNNNNNNNNNNNNNNNNNNNNNNNNNNNNNNNNNNNNNNNNNNNNNNNNNNNNNNNNNNNNNNNNNNNNNNNNNNNNNNNNNNNNNNNNNNNNNNNNNNNNNNNNNNNNNNNNNNNNNNNNNNNNNNNNNNNNNNNNNNNNNNNNNNNNNNNNNNNNNNNNNNNNNNNNNNNNNNNNNNNNNNNNNNNNNNNNNNNNNNNNNNNNNNNNNNNNNNNNNNNNNNNNNNNNNNNNNNNNNNNNNNNNNNNNNNNNNNNNNNNNNNNNNNNNNNNNNNNNNNNNNNNNNNNNNNNNNNNNNNNNNNNNNNNNNNNNNNNNNNNNNNNNNNNNNNNNNNNNNNNNNNNNNNNNNNNNNNNNNNNNNNNNNNNNNNNNNNNNNNNNNNNNNNNNNNNNNNNNNNNNNNNNNNNNNNNNNNNNNNNNNNNNNNNNNNNNNNNNNNNNNNNNNNNNNNNNNNNNNNNNNNNNNNNNNNNNNNNNNNNNNNNNNNNNNNNNNNNNNNNNNNNNNNNNNNNNNNNNNNNNNNNNNNNNNNNNNNNNNNNNNNNNNNNNNNNNNNNNNNNNNNNNNNNNNNNNNNNNNNNNNNNNNNNNNNNNNNNNNNNNNNNNNNNNNNNNNNNNNNNNNNNNNNNNNNNNNNNNNNNNNNNNNNNNNNNNNNNNNNNNNNNNNNNNNNNNNNNNNNNNNNNNNNNNNNNNNNNNNNNNNNNNNNNNNNNNNNNNNNNNNNNNNNNNNNNNNNNNNNNNNNNNNNNNNNNNNNNNNNNNNNNNNNNNNNNNNNNNNNNNNNNNNNNNNNNNNNNNNNNNNNNNNNNNNNNNNNNNNNNNNNNNNNNNNNNNNNNNNNNNNNNNNNNNNNNNNNNNNNNNNNNNNNNNNNNNNNNNNNNNNNNNNNNNNNNNNNNNNNNNNNNNNNNNNNNNNNNNNNNNNNNNNNNNNNNNNNNNNNNNNNNNNNNNNNNNNNNNNNNNNNNNNNNNNNNNNNNNNNNNNNNNNNNNNNNNNNNNNNNNNNNNNNNNNNNNNNNNNNNNNNNNNNNNNNNNNNNNNNNNNNNNNNNNNNNNNNNNNNNNNNNNNNNNAAAAAAAGGAAGAAAAUGGGAAAACUCUAGAGGCUUUUCCUGGAUUUUGCCAAUAGAGGGGAAACCCAAGGAGAAAAUCUCAUGGUUCCUGUUGGUAGGGAUGUCAAACGGGUCGAACGACUCGUGGGCGGUUCGAGCUCGUCAAAUGAAGAGCUCGAGCCAAGCAGGGGACUUUAUCCCACAAGUCGAACUCGCGAGCGGCUCGUGGGCCGUGUGCCAACGAGCCCACAAGCCUAGCUCGUGCGCUCGUAAAAAAUGUGUAAAUUUACCCAAAAAAAAAGCUAAAAAAUUUUUAAAAAAUCACAAGCUCGCGAGCGGCUCAUGGACUCGGCUCGGCCCGUGAGCUCACGAGCUCGUGGGUUAAAGGACCGAUCCGAACCCGUGACAUCCCUGCCUGUUGGUGGGGGUGGGAUGGAGUAUGAUACUGGAAACAUAAUAAUAAUAAUAAAUUAUUAUUAUUAUUAUUAUUAUUUCCACGUUUUUUAACAUUUCAAUUCUCUUCUAUUUUAAUAAAAACAAAAUAAGGACAAUUAUAUUUGCGGACAAAACUAGUCCUUUUGAAUGCGAUCCAUCUAAAAGGAUCAUUUGUGCAAAAGUGAAAGGUUUGGAAUAAUUUCUGCUACAUUUGAAAGGUUUGGACUCAAAAUAAAAUAAAAGGAUAAUUGUAGCAGUGGCUCCAAACUUUUUAAACACUAGAAUACUUUCUCUUAACCUUUCAUUUGUUGCAGGCGUCACACCAAACCUUUCAAAACAUUGCAUUUGAGGCCCAUUUGGAUGGAAUCCAUCCAAUUUAUCAUUAGUUGACCUAAAAAGUGAUGUUGACCAUAUUUUAACUUUUUCUAUAAGGACAAAAUGGUAAACUUGCUAUAUUUUCAUAUAAUUAUAAUGACUAUGAAUUUGGUGGUCACUUUACAUGGCUUGUGGGGUUCGUUUCAAGAAGGAAAAGAAGAGUGAAAGUAGCCGCUAUCAGUGCCAUCAAUAACUGUGGUGUUGAACAUUUUUAUUUGGAUAGUUCAUAAAUUCAUCACAACUUUCAAGCUCAGAGUAUAUCUUGCUCUUCUUCAUCAUACGAUAAUGAAUAUAGUAAUUAAAAGUUGAAUUGGUUCAAUUGAUUUUAUAUUCAAGGUGGCAUUAUAGUGCUGAGCAUUCGACUGUUCGCUAUUGGAUGAAAAACAGUGUGGGACCUGUCAAUUGGAGGAGUCAUGAUUGCCUGUGGCGAUUUUGCGAACUAGGUACGUCUUCAGAGAAAUUGCAGUAAUAUUUUGGUUGGUGAUGUUGUUCCAUCAGAAUGUACGACGGUAAUGGGUGUCGCCGGAAUUGGUUUUCUCUAUUUGUGAAGGAAUCGAAAACAAAAGCUAUUUUUGACAAAUUUCUUCCUCUAAAAUUGUUGUUUAGCUUGUUUGUUUGUUAUAAUGUGUUAUUGGCGUGAUAUCGUCGGUGUGGGUAUUUUUGGGUCAUUUUGGCUGUCGGUCGGCUGUGGAUUUGGUUUGACUUUUCUGGUUUUCUUUUCCUUUUUUAUUAUAUUUACAUGAAAAUAUAUUAAGUUUACCAUUUUGUCCCUAUAGAAAUAGUUAAAAUAUAGUCAAAAUCAAGUUUUUAUGUCAACGAACGGUAAAUUGGACGAAUUCCAUCCAAAGUGCCUCAGAUGUAAUGUUUUAAAAGGUUUGGAAUGACAAUUGCAACAAAUAAAUUGUUAGGAGAAAGCCUGUUAGUGUUUUCUAAAAUGCUCGAGGCUUCUGUUGCAAUAAUCUCUAAAAUGAAGGAAAAGACUUGGGACCAUUUGCACCAAUUUUUCCUUUCUUUUUUUCUUGGGAGAAAAUGAGUUUUAAAAUAUUAAUUUUUUUUGGAGGAUGUGUUAUUAAAAUAAAAAAUAGAAAGAAGUUUUGAAUUCAAUGGUAUGUCUCAAUGAAAUUUUUUUUUUAACUGUUAUCUAAUAUGUACUUUAGCAAAAUCGAAAGGGGGAAAGUAAUGGAACAAAUUCUCAAUAUUUGAAUCAAGGAACACGAAAUCAAUCCAAAAGAAAUGGCGGUUCAGGCUGAGCUCGAAUUUCAGUUUCUGGAAUGUGGCUACAAUACCUCUCAUUUCAUUUUGCCGUUGGUCUUCUGUUUGGUUACGGCUUUAUGGAUUCUUAGAAUUCCCCAUCAUACCACUGUUUCUGGUAUACUGGAUUUGUUUUAAUGACGGUAAAAAUGCAUGGGAAUAUCAUUGGAGGAAACAAAUUGACGACCAGUUAAAGUUUUUCUUGUAGUCCUGUUUAGACCCAUUUUUUGACUCGUAUGAUUAUUUACAGGUUUCUGCAAUUUCCCAGAAGUUGUUUUUGGAGGUUGUUGGAUUCUAAUAUUUAUAGGAUUUUCUGUUUUGUGGAAUUGUACUUUGGGGCUAUUGGGUAAUAACUAUCAGGGAGGAUUUAUCCACCCUUUUCUGAAGCCUAUAUGGAUUCCAGCACUUGUGAGUGAGACUGUAUAAUUUUUUAAAGACGAAAAGGCCACCCACGGAGGUCAACGUCAACAACAUGUUUUCAAUGCUAAUAGAAUAUUGGGAUUACGCGUUGAUUGUUGAAUAAUUCUACUGUUGUCUUGGGUAACUCUCUCUAGAGGAUUUUGAGGGCUGAAACUGAAAGAGAGAUGUCGAAUAACUAUGAUAAUUGGGAGAGAUUGGUGGAGGCUGUGAUUCGGAGAGAGCAACUAUGGCAAAUGUUUCAUGAUCAGAGCCCAAGUGACAGCUCCAUAACUUCUGAUAUCAGUUUUAAUUUUCAAGUCCUUGAUGGGCCUUUUGACUUUUCAAGCCCCGGAGGUUCAUCUCAGUAUCAGAAGCUACCUCCACCUGCAAUUAAAAAUUCGCAGAAGAAAGAAAACUAUGUUAAGCAGGAGGUCUCUGGGAUGGUAUUUUUUCAGAAUUUUAGUCCUGUUUUUGACCUUGAAGAUAUGCUGAGGUCUUCUGGAAAGUUUCUAGGGAAGGGAACAUUUGGAAGUGCAUAUAUGUCAUCAAUGGAUAAUGGAAUAACAGUUAUGGUGAAAAGUUUGAAUGAAGUGAAUAUUUCAAAAAAGAAGUUCAGAAACCGCAUGGAGGUUAUUGGAAAUAUAAGACACGACAAUGUUUGUGCAUUGAGGGCUUACUAUUUUUCCAAAUAUGAAAAGCCCAUGGUGUAUGAUCACUACUCGAAUGGCAGUGUAUCUGCAAUGUUACAUGGUAUGUUGAACUCCAGGACUUCAUUUCUUGUUCCCACGUUUUUUAUACAUCUGAAGAAAAAUUCUUAGCAUACUAAAUGUUUCAGCAGCUAUUUGAUGCAUUCGUGUAAUACAUACAUUUAUUUUGACUGGUUGUUCAUUUCAAUGUCCAUAAACUGAUGAUCAGCUUGCAUUUAGGUUCUUGCGUUGGUCACCAAUAGUUGAUUUAUCAAUAUGCAUAAUGAUCAUUUAUUGUUGUCUGUUGUCAGAAUCACAGAGUAACAUUUAGCCCCCAUUUGUUUCCCAUUAAAAUGAAAAAUAUGACCGUUAUCUAUCACAUCAAGUCACCAAAUUUGAAUUUCUAUCUCUUAUGUGGAGUCCAUAACGGCUAUAUUUUUUCAUUAUCAUUUUUACAAAAAUGGGAAACAAAUACCCCCUUAAUGUGGCAAUCUCAUGAGGAAGGCUGUCUUUAUUUUAAAAUUCUUACCUCAUACAAGCUUUGAUUUUGAAAAUGGCUUUUUCAUUGAUGCAUUCUGCAGAGAAAUUAAAUUUAAGCAUGUAAUUGGCAGGUUCACAUUUUUGAAUGACUCAAUUCUACUGCGAAACCAAUUUAUAGCUUAUAGUUAAUUUUAACAUAUGAUCUUUCGAGAAAUGAUAUAAUGAAAACCGAUGCUCAUUUUAUACUAAACACUGGUGAUGUGUUAUAUUAAUUCAUUGGUGGAUAAAUAUUAGCACUGGUGAUAUGUCAUAUUAAUUCAUUGGUGGAUAAAUAUCCAUUGGAUAUGUCAUUUCUCAUGAUCUUUCUAACACCUACUAUUAAUCCUCAAUCAACAUACGGGAAAUAUGAAAAUGUCACUGUGCAAUCCAAUGCAUUUUUCAUCUACACAGGAAAAACUGGCAAGAAUCGGGAUCCAUUAGACUGGGAAAUGCGACUAAGAAUAGCAGUGGGUGCAGCAAGGGGUAUUGCUCACAUUCACAAGCAAAGUGGUGGGAAGCUUGUUCACGGAAACAUAAAAUCAUCAAAUAUUUUCCUUAAUUCACAAAAGUACGGUUGCGUGUCUGAUCUUGGCUUGGCAAGCAUGAUUCCAUCACCAAUCAUGCGAAAUGCUGGGUACCAUGCCCCAGAAGUAAAAAAUACCCGGAAUGUGUCACAAGCGUCUGACGUCUAUAGCUUUGGAAUUCUGUUGCUUGAACUUCUUACUCGAAAGUCCCCAUUACAUGACAUAGGUGGCGAUGAGGCUGUCGACCUCGUUAAAUUGGUUAAUUCUGUUAAUGGUAAGGAGCAAACUGCUAAUGUGUUUGAUGUGGAGCUUUUGAAAGACCGUAAUGUCGAGGAACAAAUGGUAAAGAUGUUAGAAACAGGGAUGAGUUGUGUUGCAAAAACCCCAAGGAGAAGACCUAAUAUGGCUCAAGUAGUGAAGAUGAUAGAGGAUAUUAGUAUGAUGAAUACAAGAAACGGCCUUCAGCCGAAGCUUGUAUUCAUUGGGGGUCUUAAUCCUGAUUUUGACCUUGAAGAUAUGUUGCGGGCUUCUUUGGAGGUUCUUGGAAGGGGAAUAUUCGGGACUUCAUACAAGGCAACACUGGAAAAUGGGAGUACAAUCGUGGUUAAGCGAUUGAGGGAAGUUAUUGUUACAAGUAUAGAAUUUCAGCAGCAAAUGGAGGUAAUUGGGAGAUUGAGGAAUGAAAGUGUCGCUACAUUAAUGGCAUACUACUUCUCCCGUGCAGAAAAGCUUAUGGUGUAUGAUUAUUAUGGUGCGGGGAGUUUAUCUUCCAUGCUACAUGGUAAUUGAAAUAUCUUACUUCCCCUCGGUGCAUAUGACCUGUAGAUCUUGAAAUUACAAAGACUGUGUCUGCAACAUUAUUUUUAUAUCCAUCUUUUUUGUAGGCAAAUGGCUCUGUAAAGAUUGUUUAGAAGAACUAAUGAAAUAUAGGCAAGAAAAAUUAAGAUAUAUUACUCCCCUGCUUUCAUAGAUCAUCACUAGAUUAUAGCAUAACUUUUUAUUUCGGUUAUAUUGUUAUCCAUUGACUUGUAAUCUGAAUUGAAGUCUUAUGUACGGUUGAUAUACUAGGUCACUUUUAAAAUGCUUGUUUGUAUUCUCGAAGAUGGCUAAUGUUGGAAGUGAUUUGGGGUAAUCAAUAGUCUAGAAGAUGCUAAUUUUAACAUUUAGUGGCUGCAGUUUUACUCUCCAAGGGAUCAAUCUGGAGCUUUUUUGAUAUCUUCACAACAUUUGUAGUUAGAAAAUAUCAUGCGAUUCAAGCACACAAUGUUUUCUUCAAGCUUAUUCGGAGCAAUAUAAUGGCAACCUUUUGUAGAAAAUAUUUUUGCAAGUGAUUGUAAUCUUACAAAUUUUAUCAUCUUCGCAGGAAAAAUUGGUGAGAAUAAAAUUUCUUUAGAUUGGGAUACUCGACUAAGAAUAGCAGGUGGGGCAGCAAGGGGUAUUGCCCACAUCCACACACAAGUUGGCCAGCAUCUUGUACAUGGAAAUGUAAAAGCCUCGAACAUUUUCCUUACUACUCAAGGAUAUGGCUGUGUUUCAGAUGUUGGAUUGGCAACAUUAGUGGGUACAAACUUGGUGCUAGAUAGUCGAUCUUCAGGGUAUCUAGCUCCAGAAGUCACAGACACAGAGAAAUUGUCCCAAGCCUCUGACGUCUACAGCUUUGGAGUUGUGCUUCUAGAACUAUUUACUGGAAAGCCAUCUAUACUGUCUGAAGAUAAGGACAAGGCAAUUCAGCUAGUCAGCUGGGUUACUUCUGUUGUUCAUGAGGAUUGGACUGUCGCAGUGUUUGAUACAGAGUUGUUGAGGUAUCCCAAUAUGGAGGAAGCAAUGGUGAAGUUUUUGCAGAUAGCGUUGCAUUGUGUUAAAAGGGUUCCCGAGCAUAGACCAAAAAUGUCAGAGGUAGUGAGGAUGUUAGAGGAUAUUAGUGGGACGAACUCAGAAGCCUAAUAUUAGCUGAAGAAAGCUCAUUGCCUACUAGCAUUAUUGAUGGCAGAGUUGGGGUUGUCUUCGUCUCUAUAUUGCAUUCUCUUUUAUAGAAUUUUCUUCCAUAUGUAAACUUUCCUGGUUUUCUUUACAUUAAGUGAAUAACUAUCCAAUAUCAGUGGUAAAGAUUUUGCCUCUUGAUGAUAUUAAGUUAAUCUCCAUCUUAAUUUGCUUAAACAUUUUUGUUUCUAAGUUAAUUUACCCGGUCAUUCAUGUUGUGUCCUUGUUCUUUUGCUAACUAUUACAAUAACACAUCCAAGGUUAAAGCAAUUCAAUACUCGUUUUUGGGAAGUGCUUAUAAACUUUUUAAAUUAUAAAUUGAUUGAAAUGAGAAUGGGUAGUAUUUGUGAGUCCCUCAAAACAUAUGGAUAACGACUUGAUUGUUUAUAAAUAGUUGAUAAAUAUAAGCCAAAUGUAGGCUCUUGAAAUUUGUCACAUACCAGGCAUGAUAAUGGAGGACUUGGAUUAUUAAUGUUGAGCACGUGAACUGGAAUUUCGUACCUCAAUAAUUUCAUAAUAAAUUAAUUAAUCAAAUUGUAAUAAGAUUAUAUUAAGAUAAUAAUUUAUCCUAAGUGUUACGCCUUGCCACUGAUGCUCAAACUAAAGUCCAUGUGGAGCCCAAGUAGAUGCGCAGCAAAGGCUCACAUUCCAUGUCAACAAGUGUGGCGAAGUGAAGGCAUUCUGGCCGAAGCAAUCAAUCUUCAACUAAGAUGAAGACGCCUCUUUAUGGAUGUCAAUCCGGCUCGUGGGCUUGGGCUGCUUGCUGCUCUGCAAGUAAAAAGCUUGAGCUGGUUCGGCUCAUGGCUUGAGUCGGGCCGAACCUUUUUUUCAAUGAUGGCUCGAACCCGAAUUGGCCCGUGCGGCUCACCUAGCCACAUAGGCUGACUCGCAUGGGAAGCCGAAAUGUGGUUCGUUUUACAAGCAAUCAUGCAGCGUCUAAAGCAAGCAAUUGCCUACUGCUUAUCUUAAUAAAAAAUUCGAGCUGGCUCGGUUCGGUUCGAUAAGGCUCGAGCCUCGAGCCUCGAGCCUCGAGCCAAGCCUUAGUUUUUUAAUUGAGCUUUAGCUCGACUCGACUCAAGCCAAAAAUGCUCAAGCCAUUUUUUGUUGACCUAUGGUUUACUUCAUGUUCUGAUUAUAACAAACAAAUUGCUUUUAUAUCUAACAAUUGAAUUCGAGUCGUUACAACUAUUGUUGCAAAGUUGAUCAAUUGAAGACAAAGUGAUCACUAUUAAAAGACUCGCAAUUGAUGUUCAAAGAAAAUUGAGAUGGAAGCCUAGCAUUCAUGUCAAAUUAGCCAAAGACAAGUACUUCAACGGUCGAACAUUGAAGACAUUGAACUUAGAUGUUUUUGGAUUCAUAUGUAAAGAUAAAAUGCUUUAAUCCUCAAAAAUGAAUCAUUAAAAGCUCAAAAUGAAUUUUUAUGCAAGAGAAAAAUUAUUUCGGCUUGCAUAAAAAUUAUUUUUCAAAAGGUAAGAAUCUCAACUUGAUAUUUGAACUUCUCACAAAUGUCACUUACCUUGAAAAAUUAAGUAAAAACAUCCUUCAAAAGUCUACAUGUUUCAAAACAAUUAAAGAAGGAAAAAUCCGAGAAAACACUGUCCAAGAGAAAGUUUGAUUCAUCCAACUAUCAAAAUUUUUAAUUGUUCUGAUUUCUAAUGCACAAUGGCUAGGUCGGUGUCCGGUUCAGAAGCGGAUGUCCUGUUGAGUCUUUCGGUUGGUUAGAGCUCUUGAUGUUUUAACUGCUAUAAAUACCAGCUCACUUUGUCUUCAAUUCAACACUUAUUUGAGAGCAUUAAAGUGGGAUACUCUUGAGCCAAAUCAUUGAAUACAUAUUUUAUUUAUCUUUAUCAAAUCAUUGAAAAAGUUUUGUUUGAGUUAACUUUUGAAAAUCAUUCUACUCAUCAAAAUUUUUCUUACCUAAUACUUGAGCUUUAUUCAUUACUAUUUAUUAAAGUGCUAACUUAUUUCUCUCUUUGUACUUAAUUUUGACUAUAUCAUUUAAUAAGAGAGAAGUUUCAAAUGGUAAAAUUAUACUCUUUAAAUUUAUAAGUCAUAUUGAGGUCCUGUAAAGCUUAAUAUUGUAUAAGGAUUGGUGCUCCUUCAUUGUGAGUCACCAGAAGCGUUGUAAAGGGUUGGAUUGCACCAUAAAUCAAUCAAUAUAGUGAAAAGACCUUGCUCGCGAUUGAAAGCUUGGUAAUAAAUGACGUAGAUUAUCGGUUGGGAUCCAACCUCCACAAUUACAUCGUUUGCACACUCUCUUCCUUUUUACUUAUUACCUUCAUAUUUGUGCAUAUUUGUUUGAUUAACUUAUUGGUUAUCAAAUUUGCUUAAAUUUUAGAUUAAUAUUGAAAAAUAAUUUUAAUAACCAAUUUAUUCUCCUCUCGGCUAGCUAUUCUUGGGUUGUCAUUUUUUCCCAAACAGUGUCCGAGCCGCAAUCUUUGACUUGCGACCCAACUCGACCCGACUUGUUGACAUCCAUACGCUUCUUGCUGCAAGCAUCAAAGCUUAACAUAUAUGGUCAAGGACCAUAUUGCUGAAGUGGGUACUGUUGUCAAUUUUAUUUUCGCAAGUGUAAUGAUCGUAACAAGUAGUAAGAGGACCUAAGAGUCCGGAUUAUCGUUCUCAUGAGAACUAUACUUUAGUAUACAAUUUAUUAUUUCUAACUUCAAUUUGAUUAAAAUAAAUGAAAUGGUGAUUGGUUGUAAUUUUUAAUCUAAUUAUUGAAAAAUGUGUGGAUACAACAAAGAAUUAUUGAGAAUUCAAAUAAUAAAUGGAUGUUGGGGCAGAAUAAUUUCAUCUAUUGGUCCCUCUACUUCUGAUAUCAAGAUUCAUCAAAUCUGAAGUAGUGUUUGGUCGAAUCCUUCUAUUGUACUCAAUUUACCCCUUUCGAAUUCUCAUUGAGAAAUCAAUCUUGCACAAAGAUCUUCUCAUUCUUCCAAUAGAUGCUUCAAAACUUGGAUUUUUUGAUGUUAUUAUCCCUUGAAUGUUGCCUUCAAAUCUUGAUUUGUAUGUAUUUUCCUUCCAACGAGUAGAAUAAAUUUGGUGAUGUGUAUUCUCUUGAAUUCUCUCUCAAUUUCCCUUAAAAUCCCCAAGAGUUUAGUUGUUUCAAUGUCUAAAAGAGAGAUUUGUCAAUGUUCUAGGGCCGUUUGUUAUUUAUAUGGUAUGUAUUUAGGUCAAAGAUCUCGCCAAAACCCUUGCUAAAUGGAGUUUGAAUUGUAUAAGGAAACCUGGGAAUCGAUUGAAUUUUUAUACCAUGCAAUUGCAAUGUAUAAACCCAUGCAACCACAUGGUUCAGCACUUGGACGCCCAGAAGUCUCCCUGCAUGGUAAUGUACGAUCCCAUGGUUUAUUUUACCAUGCGAUCACAUGACCACACAUUUAUAUGUUUUUUCCGUCGGACAGCUUUCAGUAUUUUGGUUAUAUCUUUCUCUCUCAAUAUUUUAUUGAGGUAAUUCAAAAUGCACAGUAAAGAUAACUUGAAGGAAUAAAAUUCUUCUAGAAUAGAUUUCUCCAAUUUGAACUUUUUCUAACCAAAAAAUGGGUAGAGGCUAAAAUUUCGAAAUAAAAUUUUUUUCAGCUGGAAGUUGAUUUGUGAGAAUACUGUGACUCUAUUUUACUCGUUUAACUUCUUUCCUUAUCCGAUUGAUUCCUAACACUCUUGAAUCUUUAUCGUAAGGUUUGACACAACUUUUGAGUAUUUACAUUUUGCUCCGCCGAACUUUGAAUCUUGCCGUUUUCGCAGAUUUUUUGGGUUUUCCUCUCGUUUCUUCCAAUUUGUUGUACCAUCAUUGAAUUUUACAUAUUCAAGUCCAAAUACAACAAUUUAGACCAUAAUUCAUCAAAGAAGCCACUAAAUAUCAUCAUUUAAGGCCUUGAAUAAGUAUAUAAAAUACACUUAUUAGGUAACUCAUAAACCAUUGAAGAACAUCUCCUUAGAACACGUAUCCUAAGAGAUCUAUAAAAAGAUCUGAAGAAAGUGAUUGACAUGACAACCCGUAGCAAAUAGACGUCGAGUCCUAUCAGCCUACUAUAUAAGUGCUCAGACUUGGGCCAUAAAGCGGUUGCCUUUUUAGAAUGUACUAAAUGCGACAUGACCUAGGAGGUUUGAUGGGACGCCUAUGAUGGGAUGCUUUAACUGUUAAGAUGAAGACACAUGCUUCUUCAUCUAACGGUUUCCACUUCGUUCCUACUAACAUAAAACUCAAAUAUUGUAAUUUGAGAAAUGAUGCGACUUUAAAUAAGCUUUUGUCACAUUUUCUCUCGUUUUCUCAUAUAUUUCCGUACAUCCCUAGUGCUUGAACAAUUAAGUGACUCACAUCUAACACACAUUAGAUACUCAAUCUUAAAUCCUCAUUGACUAGUGGUUCGUCCAAGUGUGUAGGAGUAAGCUUGCAUGGAUGUGAGUGAGGCUGAGAUAUAUUGUCACGCCAAUGGUACAAAAAACAAGAUUAGCAGAUUGACGCUAUCUGUGGAAAAUCACACUAUAAAUCCGGAUCAAAUCCAGCGAAAAAACCUUGUAGGAAUAUUACUUGGCUUCCUCCUUGAAAAAGGCUUUUGUUCUUGAAAAAAUGAAUAAGUAGAAGCCUUCUAAAAAAUUUUGAAGUUUACACCAGUGACAAGCCUGUUGAUACUCCUUGAAAAAAGGGUUAUUUUAAGAUAAAAAUGCACUUAUAUCACCCCCAUGUCGUUGAAGACAAGAGUUAUCUAAGGGAAAUAAGCUCAAGUAGUGAAGAAGUCCUACCCAGGAGGGUUAGAAAAUUCCUUGAAAAAAGGGGUCCUAUGGAUAACUACUCCAACAGAUCAUCAUCGACCUUAUCACCAAUAUAGACCACGUGGCGUGAGAGUUACUGCCCAACUUACCAAGGAAGUGGCUAUUAUGGCUGCUAACAUAAGGAAUAACACUCAACAAAAUGUGGCCAUGAAACUCCUCAUGAAAAAUGCAAGGUUAAGUGUGUUAACCGAUGUCCCCUUAUGUGCUUCAAGAGGGGUCAUUUCUCUCAAGAAGAAGAGGAAGAGGAAGAGAAAGAGGAAGUGGAAAUCCAAAGCCAAAGGGCUCUAUCUCAUCGACAAUCAAGAGGUGCCGACCUUCGAAAAGGAUGUAGGAGUAGACAUCUUGUUGAUGAUUGUGUGCCACUUUUGUUGUUAUAUUUUGUAUUAAUUAUAUGUAUUAAAUCAGUACUUGUGAUGGUUAUUUUUGUGUAAUACAAUGUCCAUUAGAGUAUGGUAUAUUUAGUCAACAAGUAAGGUGAUGUUAGGUGGAAGUUGUUGGCUAGAAACAUGGUAGAAAAACUUUUGUAAUAUAUAUAUCUGGAGCCAGUCAAUUAUGUAUGUGUGGCUGAUUAUUUUCAUUUUGGUUUUCAAGUCUUUCUCUUCCACUUUGUGAAUCAUAUUCCAUCAGUGGUAUCAGAGCCACUUUGGCCUUAGAACACGAAGAAAGGAAGAAGGGCAGACUCUGGUGAGAAAAUCAGAAAACAACCACGUAUAACCCAGUGAGUGUGAGUAAUGGCAUCUAGUGGUUUCACAGCUCCUUUGCCUUCAAUAUUUGCUGGAGAAAACUAUGAUUUCUGGGUUGUAAAGAUGAAAGCAUAUUUGAGAGCUUAUGAUUUGUGGGAAAUCACAGAAAAUGGCACUGAACCUCCACCACUUAAAGUAAAUCCCACAAUUGCACAGUUGAAACAAUAUAGUGAGAAGAUUGCUAAGAAAUUUAAGGCUCUUUCUUGCAUACAAUCUGCUGUGUCGGUUGCCAUUUUCACAAGAAUUAUAACUUGUGAAACUGUAAAAGAAGCUUGGGAUAGAUUAAGGGAGGAAUUUUGAGGCAAUGAAAGGACAAGACAGAUGUAAGUGCUGAACCUAAGAAGGGAGUUUGAAACUCUGAAGAUGAAGGAAUUAGAAGUUGUCAAAGAAUUUGCUGAUAGACUGAUGAAGAUAGUUAACCAAAUUAGGUUGUUAAGUGAUGACUUGCCAUACAGGAGAGUAGUAGAGAAGGUCUUGAUCAGCUUGCCUGAAAAAUUCGAAGCCAAGAUCUCCUCACUUGAAGAUUCCAGGGAUCUAGCCAGCAUGUCAUCGUCUGAGCUAGUCAAUGCUCUUCAAGCCACAGAACAAAGAAGAUUGAUCAGACAAGAAGAGCAAGUCGAGGGAGCCUUGUUUGCUAAAGGAAAAUACAAAGUUCAAACUAGUUAUGGGAUGAAGAAACCAUUUAAUGAAAGCAACAAAAAUUUUGGUGGAGGAAAGAAAUAUCCACCAUGUCCUCAUAGCAAAAAGACAGGACAUUCACCUAAAUGGUGUUGGGUCAGGCCUGGAGUACAAUGUAGGGCUUGUAAACAAUUUGGUCACAUUGAGAAGGUAUGCAAAAGUAAGAAGGAGAAACAGGACUUGCAGCAAGCUUAAGUUGCUGAGAAUCGAGGGCAUCAACUGGAAAAACAUCUUGUUUACAAUAAAAAAUUUUAAUGUCUGCAGCAAUGAUGAAGCCUGGUUGCUGGAUAGUGGAUGCACUCACCAUAUGACAUCCAACUUAAGCAUCUUUACCAAGAUAAAUGACAAACUCACGUCAAGAGUUAAGGUUGGAAAUGGUGAGUUUGUGGAAGUAAAAGGUGCCGGAGAAAUAGCAAUGCAGACCUCAACAGGUGCCAAACUCAUAUCAGAUGUUUUAUAUGUGCCUAAUAUUGAUCAAAAUCUGAUUAGUGCUGGUAAAUUGAUUGAAAAAGACUACACACUUAUAUUUAAAGAUAAUAGAUGCACCAUACUUGAUCCACAAAAUCAGGAAGUUAUGAAAGUAGGAAUGAGACAUAGGAGUUUUCCAUUGGAGUGGAAAAAUGUGAGUGAUCAAGCACUUGUAGCCACAGUAAUCGAAUCCUCCUUAUGGCACAAAAGAUUUGGGCAUGCUAGCUAUACAUCACUUAAGCAUUUGCAUGAUUUGAAGCUUGUGGAAAAUAUGCUUGAAAUCAGUAACAAUGAUUGUGUGUGUGAUGUAUGUCAAUAUGGAAAGCAAACCAGGUUAAAAUUUCUAAAAAAUCAAGCAAGAAGGGCAACAAAGAAAAUUGAAUUGGUGCACUCAAAUGUUUGUGGGCCUAUGAGGACCCCAACCAUGAAUGGCAGUAGAUAUUUCAUCAUUUUCAUAGAUGAUAUGUCAAGAAUGUGUUGGGUACAUUUUUUGAGAAUGAAAUAGGAGGUAGCAGCUGUGUUUCAAAGAUUUAAAAAUUUGAUAAAAAAUGAAUGCAACAGCAAGAUCAAGUCCAUUAGAUUAGAAAAUGGAACAGAGUACUGCUGUGGUCAGUUUGACAAAUUCUGUGAAGAUAUGGGGAUCAAACAUCAGCUAACUAUACUUAUUCUCCCCAGCAGAAUGGUGUUUGUGAGAGGAAAAAUAGAAUUGUUAUGGAGAUGGCAUGUUUGAGAAAAAUAUACCUAAGGAAUUCUGGGCAGAAGCUAUAAAUACUGCUGUGUAUUUACAUAAUCGAUUGCCAACAAAAUCCUUAGAUAAAAAGACUCCAUUUGAAGCCUGAUAUGAGAUGAAACCUAAUGUGUCUCAUCUAAAGGCGUUUGGUAGUGUAUGCUUCAUUCAUAUUCCUGAUGUAAAGAGGGACAAAUUGAGUCAAAAAGCUAAGAAAGGUGUCUUGGUUGGUUUUUGCAACAAUGCCAAGGGAUAUAGAGUUUUUAUUCCACAAAGUAAGAAGAUGAUAUCCAGUAGAGAUAUCAAAAUUGAUGAGGGAUUUGUAUGGAAUUGGGAAGCAGAUUCAGUCACUCGACUUCAGAAUCCUAGAACAACUCCGUAGCCUGAUGAUGCUGAUGAUAAUGAAGUAAUAGAAGAUGCUAAGAGUGACAAAGAUUCUGAAAAUGUAGUGGUAAAAACUAGACCACUUGAAGACAUAUAUGCUAGGUGUAAUGUCGCUACUUUGGAGCCUUCAAAUUACGCUAAAGCAGCAGGAUCAAAAGAGUGGAUGGUUGCAAUGAAGGAAGAGUUAAGUAUGAUUGAGAAAACAGGACUUGGGAGUUGGUUGAUAGACCAAAAAAUAAGCAUGUAAUUGGUGUAAAGUGGGUGUACAAAACGAAGCUGAAUCCAGAUGGUUCUGUCAACAAGUUUAAAGCCAGGCUGGUUGUGAAAGGAUACUUUCAACAAUAUGGAAUUGAUUUCACCGAUACUUUUGUAACAGUAGCCAGGUAUGAAACAAUCAGAUUGUUAUUUGCAAUAGCUGUUCAUAGAGGUUGGAAAAUCUACCAAUUGGAUGUUAAAUCAGCAUUUUUGAAUGGACACUUGGAGGAAGAGAUUUUCAUUGAACAACCGGAAGGCUUUCAACUUGAAGAGGCAAGUGAGAAAGUUUAUCUAUUAAGGAAAGCCUUGUGUGGACUUAAACAAGCUCCUAGAGCCUGGUAUAGCAGGAUCGAAGAACACUUGAGCACACUUGGUUUCUUGAGAAGUAUGAAUGAAAUGAUCAUCAUCUCAUUGUAUGUGGAUGAUCUUCUGAUCACAGGAGGCUGCUAUGCAAUGAUCGAGGAGGUAAAAGAUGAAUUGAGAAAGGUAUUUGAGAUAACUGAUUUAGGGGAAAUGCAAUAUUUUCUUGGCAUGGAAAUAUUUCAAAUUCAAAAUGAGAUAUUUGUUUGCCAAAGGAAGUAUGUUAGGGAGAUGUUAAGGAAAUUUAAUAUGGAGAAUUGGAAGGCAGUAAGUACUCCCUUAGUGCAAAAUCUAAAGCUAAUAAAAUAUGAUGGAUCUAAGAGGAUUGAUGAAAAAUAUAUAGGAGUAUGGUUGGAUGCUUGCUGUACCUAACUUCUAACAGACCAGAUCUUAUUUUUGUUGCCAAUAUCCUAUCCAGAUUCAGGCAAGAACCAAGUGAAUUCCAUUUCAAGCUGCAAAGAGGGUACUGAGAUAUGUGAAAGGAACUGAAGAUCUGGGAAUUUGGUUCAAGAAAUCAGAAAACUUGGCAUUAACUUAAUUCACAGAUUGUGAUUAGGCUGGCUCGAGUGAUGACAUGAAAAGUACAUCUGGUUAUGUGUUUUAUGCUGGAACAAGUGUUGUAUGCUGGAGUGCUAUGAAACAAAAAACAGUUGCUCAAUCGACGGCAGAGGCAGAAUACAUAGCAGCUUCAGAGGCUACUAAUCAAGCAAUAUGGCUAAGGAAAGUUAUGGAGGAUCUUCAUGACAAGCAAGAGAAAGUCACUGUUAUUUUUUGUGAUAAUCAGUCGGCUGUGGCUAUGGUGAAGAACCCGGUAUUUCAUGGAAGGACAAAACAUAUUAAGAUCAAAUAUUACUCAAUAAGGGAGGCACAAGACAGAAAAGAAGUCCAGCUGAUGCAUUGCAGUUCUGAAAAUCAGUAUGCUGAUAUUUUCACUAAAUCCUUGCCUAAAGUAAGAUUUGAAACAUUGAGAAAAAGUCUUGGUGUUUCCAACAAAAGUGUCAAUGAGGAGUGUUGAUGAUUGUGUGCCACUUUUGUUGUUAUAUUUUGUAUUAAUUAUAUGUAUUAAAUUAGUACUUGUGAUGGUUAUUUUUGUGUAUUACAAUGUCCAUCAUAAUAUGGUAUGGUAUAUUCAGUCAACAAGUAAGGUGAUUUUAGGUGGAAGUUGUUGGCUAGAAACAUGGUAGAAAACCUUUUGUAAUAUAUAUAUUUGGAACCAGUCAAUUAUGCAUGUGUGGCUGAUUAUUUUCAUAUUGGUUUUCAAGUCUUUCUCUUCCACUUUGUGAAUCAUAUUCCAUCACAUCUCUUCUAACUACAUGUCUAGCUGACCCAUCAAUGUCUAAUUCAGUAGGAAAAAUAACUUUUCCCCCGAAUAUAAACUACCCCAAAUGUUCCUUAGCAUUUUGAUAGACUUAGCCCAACAAAGCCCAAAAAUAGGUCAAUAUAGCCACCUCUAUGCCUAAAAAUAGGCCUCAGUAGCCAUCUCUUUUGCAAGGCCCCAUAAGUACGAGCAAAGCCAAGGUCCUUCUAAGAAUAGGAGCCAAAGGAGGGACAAAACUAAUUUGAGAAACCAAGUAGGACCUUUUCACCUACCUUUCAUGUAUUAAGAUAAGGAGAAAUUUUUUGAUGAACCUCAAAGAUCUUGCAAUUUAGACUAUGACGAUGACAAUUUGCCAUUUUCGUAGCUACUUUAUGCCUUCGAAGAUCCCAAAUACGAGAGAAGAGUUGAUCCAGCGAAUCACUUCAACAAUGACAAAAGUCAUAAAGGUUUAAGACACGCAUUAACCACGGUAAAAUGUAGAGCUUUUUACUUGACCUUGAAUGGAUCAUCUGAAGUUUGGUGUAGUAGAAUACUAGAAUGAAGCAUCUGGAGCUGGCUUGAUUUCAAAAAAGUGGAUAGUUCACCGUUAGCAAGGAAGGGAAAGCUUUUUUCUGGUGCAUCCAGGAUAUGAGGCAAGAAAUCAGUGGGACGCUGAAAAUUUUCUUGUCUCCCUUUACUAAUGAGAUGACCUAUUGUGAGUAGGUCAUUGAUAAAGAGGCUCUAUGAGGCCUAAGGGAUGCCUCAACAUGAAUACCCUCUUUUGGAGAGAUGUACAAAAUCAGAAUCCUACCGACUAUGCUGCAAUAGUGGAAAUGAUGAGAUGGAUAUCAUUAAUGAAGAACUAAUUAGUCACCACAGUAGGACCUCUAUGGGACUCCUAUCCCCUCAGAGGUAAAAAGAAGGGAGCCUACCUCCAAUUUGGUGAACCACCAAUGGAACAAGGCAGGACACGUUCCUACUUCAGGCCAAGCACUUGUUAUAGCUACUUUUAACGUUGUAUUGUUUUUAACCUAUGAAGACGUCGACCAUAGUAAUAAUGUGCGACCAAGGAACAAAGGUAGCUGGCCUAUCAAAGAGGAAGAGGUCAGUGUACCCGUUUGUUGUACAUACCAUCAUUCAUACAUCCAUGAUAUAGUAGAGUGUAAAGACAUAGCUUUACAUUCUAAAUGAACUAAUCUUCGGGUUAAACAGAGAGAUGAUCACCCUGCACAAGGAAAUUGCCCCCGCUUAGGCACCCUCAAUAGUCUAGGAAAAAUGAGACAAGGUGACCUUCUAGGAAAGUUCUGCUCGUUGAAGGGGAGACAAUGAUAGAAAAAGGCCCAGAGAUGGAUAAUGCACACAUUGAUUAAAAAGAUACAAUAUUCAGAAGUUUGUAUAUUGGUGGUGAAACUAGGAACUCUAAAAGAAAUUACACCGGGAGGGGGAGGGGGAGGGGAGAGGGGUAUAGGAUCCUCAAUGGCUAGUUAUAUAGUCAAUAAUAACCCCCAAAGGGCAAGACAAGUUCCACCUAUCACAUUUAUUGAAGAUGAUGCUUUGAGUCUGCACUACUCCCAUUGUGAUGCCUUGGUAAUAAGGUGGUCAUAGCUUGCAACGGGUUAAAGAACAUGCUAGUGGACAAUAGUAGCUUCGUCAACAAAUUAUUUUGUACCACCUAUGAUAGAAUGCUAGUAGAUCAUGAACUGAACCUAAUGAGCACUUUUUUGUAUUGGUUUACCGGUGAUAGUAUCAUCUAGAGAAAAAUGAUUACCCUUACAGUGGAAAUGGGUGCACCAUCCAAAACAUUGCAUUACUUUAUAGAGUUCCUUGUUGUGGAUAACUUUCAAAGUUUUUACCUCUAAAGCCAUCAGGUUAAAGGCAACAAAAAUUUGCAGCAGUUGUUGAUGCGGUCAAAGUUUUGAGACUUAAACGGAUGUUGGUAGAUGUCUUCAACCAAGUUCCACUUAGGCUUUGAAAGCUUGAAGCAGUUGAUUGAACCAACAAAUCAAAGAUCAUCAGUAAAAGAAUAGCAAAAUGAGACAAAUGAAAAGGUUAGAAACUCACGAGCUUCAAAAUAUUAGGUCGGAACGAUGAGGGUCGGAGCUUUGUAAUUCUUAAAGGAUUGCCACCCCUUUGGUCCAGAACCAGGACUCUUUCUAGAAGAAGAAUGCCCCCACUAACUAGCUCCAUGAAUUUGGGAGAAGUUGGGUAAGUUCUAACAUGUAGAGCCUAAGAACUAUCCUAAAGAAUAGAUAAAGGAGUAACAUCAUACCCCCUUCAAUGAGAUAUUAACUAACUACCACGCAGUCAUCCUUUAGAUAGCAAGCUCACACAUGGGCUUCGGGUACUAAAAAAUUUAUGGUAGGAAAAAUACCAUACUUGUCUGUGCUUUUAUGCAAGUCUUGUUGGGUCAUUGUCCAAGCGAUCUUAUCAACCCCAAACCCGCCUCGUAGUCAACUAGACCUUCAAUGCAUGGCCUAGACACUCUCACCAAUCUUAAUGGCUAAAGCAAGGUUCUCAGUUCUAAUGAAAUUAGAAACACUCAUUUUAACAGCAAUCCUAUGAAGAUCCACGCCUGUUUCGUAGCUCAGUCCACCAGAACCUGAAGUUGAAGUCAUUUAAAUGAAAAAAAGUGACGAUGGAAGGGAUUUUAUGAAAAGUGAGGAAAUACCUAGCUGAUUGAUAAGAAGAUGAAGCAAAGGUUUCGGAUGCAGGUCAUCAGGGUGUCGAGGUUGCCUAAAAAUUCAAGAUUCCAGAGAGUUUGGAAGUUUUUGCAAAAGUAAAAAACAUAAGAAUAGGCAAAUGAUUGCUUUUAUAGGCCCGUCCAAACAUUCUCAAUCAUUAGACCUGGAUUUGAUCCAUUUGGAUUGUUCAAUUGCUAAAUGAUCCGAAGUGUUCAGUUCUAAAAGCUUUAUCAUGGAUCACUGGAUUCAAACGUAUCUUUCACACACGCACUUUACCAUGUCGCUUCUGUAAAAUGACGUCAGUUGUGUGUAUGGAAAGUUGUACUGCUUUAGGUAUCCCUUUUUAGAAACAUGCAAAACAUCAAAUUAUUGGCACAACUUCCGAGAUGUAUCUCUCCAGCUAAAAGUUGCAUUUACAAGACAACCAACUACUUCAGCAAUUCGAAACAUUACUUCAGAGCUUUAAUACUUUAGUGUUUUGUCUCUACUUCAGAACUUCAACAAUAACAAGCAUUGCUUCAGAAUUUCAGCAACAUUAAAGAAUUACUUCAUCUCCUCAACUCCUACCUACUCAAGGGCCUUGGAUCUAUGCAAAUAAGGUUCUGUUAAAAACAUCAAUAAUAAUAUCAAUAUUAAGCUUGGACUUGGGAGCUAUUGUGUUAUACCAAAAUUUAACCAUGAUAGGUUUAACAUCUACCCAAACAUUGACAUCGAAAUACCGUUUCUUACAUAUAAAGUCCGUACAAUAUAUAAAUAAUUAUACAUGAACUUGGGGAAUUGUUGUUAGGCCUUGCCACCGAGGUUCAAAAUGAAGUUCACGUGGAAUCUCAUGUGGAGACCAAGUUGAAGCGCAACAAAGGCCCACAUUCCAUGUCAACAAGCGUGGUGAAGCAGAGGCAUUCUAGCCGAAGCGGUUACACUUCAACUAAAGUAAAGAGCCUCGUGAUGCAAGCACCGAAGCUUAAGAUACAUGAUCGAAGCUUAUAUUGCCAAAGUGGUUACCUCAUAAACUAUUGAAGGACAUCUCCUAAGAACACGUAUCCCAAGAGAUUUACAAAAAGAUUUUAAAAAACGAUUGACAUGACAACCUACAACGAAUAGAUUUCAAGUCUUAUAAGCCUAGUAUAUAGGUGAUCAAACCUAGGCCAUAGAGUAGCUUAAGGCUGGACAAAACUUUCGAACCUGAACAUGAACCCGAACCGAAUCGAACCUGACCGUGUAGUUCUUCUUAAGUUAAGUACCCGAACGAGUAUCUAAAUCGAGAAUCGACGAAUUUGGUUCGAUUCUCGAUGCUAGAUAAAAAAUCGAAGAACCGAAUAAGAAUUGAAUCUCCAUAAUUUUUUUAAUUAAUUUAUUUCAAAAAAAUUAAAAUUAUUUUAUUUUUCUAAAUAAAUUUGCUAACUAGUUAAUUUAGCUCAAGCCCAAAAAUAUUAUUUUCCUAUUUCUAGUUUUUAGUUCAAAGCCAACUUAAUCAAAUUGAUCUAAGUUUUAUUUAAAUCUAUUACUCUACCAUAGUACUGUUUUUUACCGUUAUGAAGAAAUCGAAUUGAAACUCGACAAUGCCUCUCUUAAUUACUGUGAACUCACUAUCUUCCUCUUACUGUGAUUUUAACAAUUAAAUCUAUGAAGAUCUCAACAAAGAGAGACAAAAAAGACACAUAAGAUUAGACUACAUUAUUUUUUAAGAGUUAAGAUUGAACAUAUUAUUAGUUGAAUUAAUAUACUUUUGUAAAUAUUAAAAAAUUAAAUUAUAAUACAAAACCAAAUCGAGCUAAACAAAUGGAAUUGAACCCGAACGGUUCCAUAAUUAAAUUUGCACCCGACGGUUUCACUUACUAAAUAUCCGAAAAUUUUAGGUCCCGUUCGGUUCUCUUUAGAAUCGAACCGAACUAAACCAUGUUCAGCCCUAGAGUUGUCGCCUUAAUAGAUUACAUUAAAUGCGACAUGGCCUAGGAGGUUUGAUGGGAUGCUUCGGCUGUUAAGAUAAAGCCACACACUUCUUCAUCCAAUGGCUCCCACUUCAUCCCCACUACUAUAAAUGCUCAACUAUUGUAAUUAGAGAAAUAAUGCGACCUUAAAUGCAAAAAGACCGUGUGAUAUUUUCUCUCGUUUUCUCAUAUAUACCCAUACACCCCUGGUGCUCGAACAUCUAAGUGGCUCUUCUUUAAUGCAAAUCCCACACUCAAUCUUAAAUGCCUCAUUGACGAGUAGUUCGUCCAAGUGUGUCGGAGUAAGCUUACGUGGAUGCAAAUGAGGUUAGGAUCUGUUGUCAACGUCAAUGUUAUAAAAAUCGAUGUCAGCACUAACUUUUAUCUAAUACAAAUCAAACAUAGAAAAAUAUCAUGUUCAAGCGUAGAAAUUUCACCUGAUGUUACCCCAACUUGCAUAUUUAGUUUAUGGCUUGUUCCACAUGUUCGGUAUUCCGCAGUCUGAGUUUAAUCUCUCAAUUCAAAUCUCUCUUAAUUUAAUCAUUGCAUGUGUAAACUCGAUCAAACUUAAUAUCCCGUUCUACAGUUUUAACGUUCAUCAAAAGUUUGUCUUUUUUAGAAGGUUAAGCGUAAAACAUUAAAAAUACUAACAAAGAAAAGUAAAUUAAAAUUUACUUAUACAUUUUCCAAUAUUUUGUACAGAACACUUUCUAGUUAAAAAUCUAGUUCAUUUACUUAUGAAUUUUAUGUUUUUCAGAGUCUUACGAAUGUUAUUGAUUGUGGGAAUUAUUAAGAACGAAUACCAACAUUGGCAUACACAACACAUUUGGUUUGGAAGAUAACAUAUAUACGUGAUGGCCUUGAUAGUAGUGACUUGACAGUACUAAAUAUGAUAACAUUUUAGAUUUAUCACAUGUUUCUUCUUUAAAAAUUUAUUUAUUUUUACUGUUCCGAUCAUUUUUAAUACUUCGAAUACGAAAUGUUCACAAUAAUUUAAAGGGUUAUUCUUGAGUGACACGCCCUGGACGUGGACGUGUCACAAGGGUUUUUCCCAAAAAAUGAUACAAUAUUUGUACCUACUACAAUGUAAAAAGAUUAAAUUAAAGGAGACGAGCGGCCUAGAUCUCCCGCCCCGAUGAACAGGAGAAAAAAAUUCAAUCGCCUCGUCAACAGUGACUAUAUAUAUAUAAUUUUUUUUUUCGACUCAUGUUUUUUUCUUCUUUCUACAUCCGUCCCCUUUUAUCACCCAGCCCUUUUAAUUCCCACCUCACCCAAAUAAAUUUCGAGUCACCCACCCCUUUAGCUUUUUAUCCCUCCCAAUAACGCGGCAAUAAUUCAUGCAAUUUUAAUUUGAAAAGUCAAUAGUUUUUUAUGUUUUUGUUUCAAUUCUUGGGAUCUUUAUAAAAUGUCAAACGAAGUUGAAAUAUUACGUUCUUAAUAUUAUUUUGAAAUGCUCAUGCCUAAUUUUCAGCAUCGUUAAGAGUGCAAAACUGCCAACUGUUGUGAAAGUUACGAUGCGUCAAAGUAGAAUAUUGUUCCAAAAAAGAAUUUCAAGAAUUUUCAUAACAUGCUAAAUUUAAAAAUCCAUCGGUGAUCGAAGGGUAGCCAAAUCCACAAAUCGCCUAAGUCAUAUUGAUGUUCAUUUCGAGAACUAUAUCAUAAAUAUAUCGAAUGAUUCAAAUUGACAUUAUCCGGACAACAAAAAUAGUUAUUCGAGCGUCUCAAAAAGAGGCACCUUACUCUUUUUUUAAAAAAAAAAAAAAAAAUUCAAUUAUUUCAUUAAAGAUUAUUAUUUUUUGCACGACAAAUUUAUCAAUAUAAUUUACUUAUCAUGAAAUUUUUACAUGCAAUGUGGUGUCAAAAAUUGAGAAAGUUAUUUGUACAAAUUUCAUACAUAUGAAUCUGGGGAUAAAUUUUGGUGAUUAAUUAUUAAGUAAAUACGGAAGGGUCGGGGAGAAAGGUAGAGUGGGGUGUGGGGCAAAACGGUGGAAAACCAAAUUCUAGCCAAUUCAUAUGUAUGAACUUGUAUAACUAAAAUUUAUUCCCAGAUUCAUAUGUAUAAAACUUGUAAGAAUAAUUUUCUAAAUUUUUACCACUUGCAAAAUUUUUUCUAACAAAAUGAUAUAAAUUAUGUUACGAAAUUUGUCACAUAAAUAUAAUAAAUGUUAAUGAAAUAAUUGAAUUUUUUUUAAAGAAAACAUGAGUUACACGCCUCUUUUUAAAACACUUGUUUAACUAGUUUUUGAUGUUCAAAUGAUAUUCAUUUGAAACAUUCAAUAUUUCUAUGAUGUUUACUAGUCAAAGAAUUUUCUUUUAGUGCUUUAUGUGAUACAUGUGCAAAUGUUAAUUUACAAUCUUUAUUUGUCAACAGAAAAUUAGGACUUGGAGAAGUAAAGAAAAUAACGUUAUCACUUUAGCUGGCCAAUAGAAGCAUCAAAUGUCAAAGAUGCAAGGUUGAGGAUGUAUUCAUUAAAGCUGAAAAUUUGAUAUUUCUGACAGACUUCCUCGUUCUUGACAUAGAAGAAGAUCAAAAUAUUCCAAUAAUCUUGGAUCGACCUUCCUAGCAAUCGGUCAAACCUUGAUUGAUAUGGAGAAAUAUGAGUUAACAUUGAGGAUGGAUGAUGAACAAAAAGUUUUUAAAUUAUACAAUCCAUCCAAGCAACCAUAGGACCUCGAGCUAUGCAACUAUAUCGAUGAAGAUGAUCCACGAAGUUUUCAGAAGAGAAAACCAAAAGUUAGUGGAAUCUAGAUGGACAUAAGAAAGAGUUCAAUGUUUGAAGAGCAAAAAGAAGAUGAAGGGCUGAAAAUUGCUACAAGUGCAAUGUCAAAAAACCCCAAUGCCAACUCUCAUGAGUAAUCAUGUUGCAAAGUCUAGCUAAAGACAUUAAAUUAAGCAUUUAUUAAGAGGCAAUCCAAUUUCUUAUCUUUUUAUUUAUUAUGCUUUAUGUAUUUGUAUUGUAUGUAGUUUAUUAUGCUGGAUUAGUUUUGGACACAUUUUUUAUUUAAAUAAAAGGGCCAUCAUAUCCAUUCCAAGCAUUGAAAAAAUUUAGUCAAAAACAAUAGAAAAAACAUGUAGUGCAUUUUUCAAGGCUUUAAGGGCAUUUAAAAAAAAACUCGUUAUCGUACACUUCGCGUCAUAACUUUUAAACUAUUUCUUGACUCUUAUAUUUGUUUUCUUCUUCCAAAGGUACAAAGAUAUCAAAUAGGACGUAGCUUGACAAGUUGACUGUACUAAUCCAACAUGUUUCCCUCCAUCAUCAAAUAAAAAUCCAAGGAUUACCUUAUUUUCUUUUUUUUUUCCUCGCCCCUUUAUGUUGCUAUAUUAUACUUUGAGAUAUUAAGAACAAUAUCUACUUUAAAUUUGGGGGUGGAAAAAAUAAUGAGUUUUUAUUUUAUUUUUCUUGUUAAAUUUGUGUGGUUUUAUUGUUUUAUUAUAUAUAGAAUUUUAUUUAUUUUUUUUGUUUAUUUGCUUCCGUGGACUAGGUAGUCUUGUUGACAAUGAUGAAUAUAUUUGAAAAUUAUGUGUUGACUUAUGAAUUGUGAAUAUUUAUAUGCUUAGCUUAAUAAAUGCUUUUCCAUGUAAGACUUGAUAUUAUAUAUGCACGUGAAUUAAGUUUGAUAAUAUGAAGCAAAACCCAAAAAAAAAGAAAAAAAAGACUACAUUAUACAUCUUUAGACCAAAUUAAGCAUAGCUUGGAGGUGAGUUAACUGUUGUAAGAAGAUAGGAAUAUGAAUGGAUAUUCUCUGAGUUUAAAUUCUUUUGUGAAUUAUCUAAGAUCAAUGGAGUAAAAUUAUUUGAAAAUCUUAAAUUAAAUAUCGAUUUUUUUGAAUGAGUGUUUAAUGAGGGCAUUGCACUAAUCAUGGUAAAAAAGGGAAAAAAAAGACUUUUUAUUGUGAAAAGUUUUUUCAUAACCUUUAUGACUCGAAUAAUUAAGAUAGAGUAUUUAAAACUUGGUACCCUAGAGUCAUUAGUCAAAAGCACGUUACAAUGAUCAUUUAGAAAGCUUAAUAGAGAGAAGUCCGUACAUAUAAAAAAAAAAAAAAAAUCUAAAAAAGUAAGUGCAUGAAACAGAAGAUGCACAACAUGCCUUGAUUAAGUCUCAAAUAUAUGUUUUUGGUGAAACAUGAUUUAUUAAAUUCAUGAAUACCGUUGGAGCAUUAGUCAAACCGAAUGGCAUAACAGUGAACUCAUAAUGUUCAUAACGAGUUCUAAAAGCCAUAUUGGGUAUAUCACUUGUCUUAACCUUCAAUUGACGAUGUCGAGAUCAUAAGUUGAUCUUGGAAAAUACAUUAGCCUCUUUUAAUUGAUCAAACAAAACUUCAAUUCUCGGUGGGAUAUCUAUUCUUGAUGGUUAAAUGGUUCAGCUCCCGAUAGUCAACACAUAUUCUUAUACUUCCUUCUUUCUUUUUUUACGAACAACAUUGGUGUGCCUCAUGGAGAUACACUUGGUCGAAUAAAGCCACUGUCUAACAAUUAUUGUAAUUGAAUUUUGAGCCCCUGAAGUUCCUUUGGAGCCAUUCUAUAUGGGAGCUUUAGAUACUAGUAUCAAUCCAGGAACCAAAUCUACUGUGACCUUCACCUGUCUAUCUGGUGGAGUACCAAGUAGAUCUUCUGAAGAUAUAUCUAUAAAUUCUAAUACCACUGAUACGUCAUCAAUCUUUAUCAUUGCUAGUUUUCUUCUGAGAUGUUAACUAGAGACCUUUAAUAUAUUUUUUUUCUCAACAUUUUUUUAGCUUGCAAGGCCGAUACUAGUUCGGGAUGAGGUUUAGUCUUUAUUUUGAGAAAAGAAAAUUUUCCCUUCUCUUGGUUUCUGAAAAAAUACUUUCCUUUCUCUACAACGAAUGGUUGCAUAAGUACAUCUCAGCUAAUCCAUGCCCAAAAUCACAUCAAAGUAUUUUAUCUUUAUCAUGUACAAAUUAGCUUUUAAUGUUUUCUCCUCAAUUUCAAGAUUCACCGACAUAGCUAACUGAUCUGUAAUUAAUGUUCUUCUAGAAGGAAUGCUAAUUUCUAGUGUAUUUUCUAACUUUAUAAGCAAUACUAGAUUUAGCAAUGAAAUACGUUGAUACAAAAGACUGAGUAGCUUCCGAAUCAAACAGUACAUAAGCAGGUGUGUUAGAUAUCACUAAAAUACCUGCUAUUACUUUUGAGUCCUCUUCUGUAUCCUUUUGAGUUAGUGUUAAACUCGUGCUUUCCCCUUUUUGUUCUGAUCACUGUUAUCAUCCUUCUUCUAAGUAAAUAUGAGACUAUCAUUAACAAUAUAUCCUGGUUUAUCACACCUAAAGUAGGCAUUCUUCUCAUACAAGUAUUCACCAUGAUGAGGUUUAACACACUCAGGGCACGAUACUACUACAACACUAGAUCCAAUAUUUGCUUUAUUAUUUUGAUAUUUUCUAGACCAUUUCACUUCCUUUUUCCAAUUUACCAUUUAUGCCGCUGGCUGUACAAUUGACUGUAUUGCUCUGCAUUAGCUUUCUGAUACCAAAUAAUGUGAGCUCGUUCUAGCAUCUCACGGUAUGAUGUAAAAUGAUGUAACAUAAGAAUCAUGCUUAGGUCUAGGUUUAACCCUUGCUCGAACCUUCAAGUCUUCCUAAUUUCUGUGUCAACCAAGUAUAGAAUAUACCUUGAAAGUUGGUUGAACUUUCGCUCGUAAUCAACCAGGGACAUACUGUUCUACUUUUGCUGAAGGAAUUUGCUCUGUCUGAAAUCUCUUAGAGAUUGAGGAAAAUACUUGUUCAUCACUUUCUCCUUGAAUUGUUCCCAUGUUAACACCAAUUGCUGCUCCGGGGUCCUAAUUCGGGACAUGGAAUUCCACCAGUGACUUGCAUCAUCGAUAAACAUAAACUCCACACACUGGACAAGUCCGUAGCAUCUACCAAUUUCACCAGAUCCCCCUUCCCUUUGUUUUGAGAUUAGGAUUUGUUUUGGGCCUCAGUGUAGUCUACGAGUCAAAAAAUUCAUUCUAACUUACAAAAUCAUUCCUCAACUACUAGUAGACCAGAUGCUCCAUCGAAGGUAAGGAUUUAAGCUUUCAAAAUAGCUCAACUACCGAGGAAUGGCCGGGAGAGUAAUAGGGGCUGGUGGUGUGGAUGGAGCUUGAGUUUGAUUCAGCUUGCCGCGAUCUUGAACCACUUGCAGGAGAUCCAUUAUCAAAUUGUUCUCGUUUGCUUGAGAUGUUUUCCUUGAAAUAAAAAAUAGUAUCUUUUAUUAAAUUUGUAUACCAAUAUCAGAAUACUUAGAAUCAAAGGGCAAAUUGAAAUAAUUCAUGACUUGAUCACAUGACUGAUUUUUUACCACUUCUUGAUAUAGAAAAAAGUAUUCGAAAAAUUUUAUUAUUAUUAUUUUUUUUGUAAAAUAAACGAGAAAUCUCUAUAAAAUCUACUCGUUUCACUCUUGGUCUUCUUCUAAAUCCUCCUCUAGAUCUUCUUCUUUAUCUUCAUUUGCAUUUGCCAUAAUUGGUUGUGCAACUUCAUCAUCUAAAGUCAUUAGUCAGUUCAGAUCCUGAGUGGGAGAUAACAUUACUAAUCAUAGUCUUCCAAUUAUGGAUAUAAACGUUGCAAAAAUUCUCAGAGUCAAGUUCUUUAGGUUUACUUUCCGAAAUUUGAGAUAGCAUAUUUUUUUAUAUAAGCUUCCCGAUACAUUUUUCACAAGGUGUAAAAGUUUCUAGUAGAUGACCUAUAGCCUGUCGAUUAUUAAUUUUGUAACUUGCAUUCUUUGCUUUUAGCCAAUAUUGGUAUACGCUUCGUAUGUGGUUGUCAAGUGCUAAAGAUUCUCUACCUCAAAAUCAAGGUAAAAUUGAAUAUCUAUUGCUUGUUGAGUAACAUGAUUCCUUCUCAUAGCGUUUUAUCUUCUCCUAACCAUCUAUCACUCACAACCUUAAUUUUUAACCUAAUACAUGUCUUUUAUAAAACACUUUUUUUUUUAAUUUACAUUUAUUUUUGUAUAUAAAAUAUACAUAAUGAAAAUUUAGAAUGUACUAUAACAUGAAAAAAAUAACAGUAGAAUCAUAACAUUUUUCAAAAUAAGAAUUUUUUAACUUUCUUUAGUUAAACAUACCUGAGUUGUUGGAUGAGAUCGUCUGAUGGAUGCGAGAUGCCAUGGAGUGACUUGCCUACUUUGUACUAGAGGUCAAAUACUCAAAUGUUCAAAAUUGAAGAAAGGAUGAUUUUAUUGAGCAUAUAAAAAUUUGAUAUUAAAAUAUUAAAAGUAGGAAUUUGAAACACUAGAUUGAAAAUUGAAAACCUUAAAGAAAAUUUAAGAAUACAAGUUUUUUCUCAAACUUUCUUGAAGUUGUUUUAUCUCCUGCUAAAACAUACUUGAGGAGAUCUUAAUCUUUGAUAUGCUUUUAUACUUGAAUUUUUGAGCUCUGGACUUGAACAUUUCUUCAAUUUGUUGAAGGAAUCUUGGAGGACAAUAAUGUUUGUCGACUUUUGUGUUCCACUUUGAUUUGUCUUCUACUUUUUGAAAAUCUUUUGUAUCUUUAUUUCUCCUGUUGCCUUUACUUUAUUGAAAUAGCUUUAAUAAAUUAAUUCGUUCAAAUAAUCAUUUUGUAUUCUUUGGAUUUUUAUUUUCUUGAUCAAUUAAUUCAUCAAUAUCAGUUCCAUAACACAUGUCUUCAUUGCUAUAUGCAUGGUCUGAUAUUGAGUCUGAUUGAGAAGAGGAAUCUUUUGAUCUUUUUGAAGCCGUUUCAGCCAAAGAUGCAAUUUUUUUCAGAAAUUAUUGCUAACUCUUCUAGCUUUUUGCACUGAUUAAACAUAGCCAUCAAUCUUUAUUUUGUUGUGAGAAAAUUGGCAUUUUUCUCCAAAUCACUCUUUGAAAUUUUUGGAAUACCAAUAUUUCUUUGUUCUUCUUUGUUCUUUAAUCCAUAAAUUUAAUGCUUUUGGACAACAAUUACUUUCAUGAUAAUUUUAAAUCAUCUUGAAAUUUUAAAAUACACAGUACUAUACAUAAAAUCUCUUUUUUGAUAGUGGAAUAAUUCUUCUGAGGGUCGGUCAACACUCCACUGUAGGGGUGUCAACGAGUUGAGCCGAAACUCGAGGCUCGAGCACGACUCGACCUUUUUUAAGUCGAGCUUUUUUAGGCCUGAGUUCAGCCAAGCAAAACCUUAGUCAAAAAAUUGAAGCUCGACUCCGGUCAAUUUUUUUUCCUAUUUUUUUCUUCAUGGGUUGCCUAACAAAGGUAGCUAGCAAGGUAGUGGCCUGUCAACUACCUUUUAAAAGCAGCAGGCUGCUGCUGCUCUUUUUUUAAGCUAGCUCGAGGUUGGCCAAAUAUCCCAAGAUGGGGCUCGGCCUGAGCCGAUCCAUAGGCAGUCCGAGUCGACGAGUCAAUUUGCCAUCCCUACCCCAUUGUAAUACCUAACAAACUGUUUUUGAUUUGACUCUUUUGGAUUCUGCUUUAACAUUCCAUCAUAUCCUAUGUCUGAUGCAUCUUUCUCAACAAUAAUAGAGGCAAGAGGGUCAAUGAUUAAAAUGCAAGGAAUAUUUUUUAUGGCUUGCUUUACUUUUUGUACAACUAUUGUAUGCUUGUGACUCUAUGGGUUAGGAUUUUUCUAUAGCCUUAUGAAAAAAGGGGAAUAGAUUUGACGUACACUUUUGACAAAAUCAGCAACAUAAUUGACACAACCUAAAAAAGCUGCAAAUUUAUUUUAUCUAGAAUUCCAUUUGAAAAUUUAUCAACAAAUUCUAGACUUCUUUGAAUUGGAGUAAUGGUUCCUAUAUGAAUGUUAUGUCCUAGAAGCCUAAUUUUUGUUUGACAAAGAAUAAUUUUCUUAGCAGAAACUACUAAACCAUUAUUCUUAACUACAUGAAUGAAUACAUUUAAAUGUUUAAAAUGCUGUUCUAUGCUUUCAGAAAAUAUGAGAACAUAAUCUAUAUAAACAAUAAUAAAAUUUCAGAAGUAAUUGAAAAUAUCAUUCAUGAUUUCUUGAAAUUCUGAAGGAGCAUUGAGACCAAAUGACAUAAAAUUCCAUUCAUACUUCUCAAAGGGAAUAUUGAAAGUAGUUUUGUAUUUGUCUUCUUCUUUAAUUUGAAUUUGCCAGAAGCCUGACUUCAUAUCAAAUUUUGAGAAGAUAGCAGCUUUGUAAAGUCUAAUCAAUAGAUCUUUUAUUUGAGGUAAUGAAUAUCUAAUCCAUUGAAGAACUUUAUUGAGAGGUUUAUAAUUGAUAACGAAACGUGGAACACCUCGUUCAAUUUUAGUAGAAUUAUUGAUAUAGAAAGAAAAGCAACUCCAAAGAGAUUUGCUCGGCCGGAUUAGAUCUUUAUCAAGUCAAUCUUUAAUUUCCUUGAUACAAUGAUCUAAUAAUUCUUUGCUCAUUUGAGUAGGACGAGAUUUCAUACGAAUAUUUGAUUCAUAAAAAUCAGAAUUGUAAAGAAGAGAAACCACAUGUUUCUUUCUAUCCUAAAAAGCAUUUGGAAUAGUAGACCAAAUUUCUUUUUCAAUUUCUUUUUGAAAACUUGAAAUUUUUUCUUUAAUUGAAGGAUUUUGUAAUUGUUCUUCAAUUCUUUUAAAUUUAAUUUUUUAAAUGAAAUCUAAUAUGAUUCUUUUUAAAAUUUGUGUUCUUUUAAGGCAUUUUAUAUCCUUAUAAGAAGGAGGAUUUGUAAAUUUAAUACAAAUUUCUUGACAAAAAAUAUUUGUAGUCAAACUUUUUGAAUUGACUUGAAAAGGAUAAAUUUAAACAAUAAAACUAGUACCAAGAAUUAUUUCUUGAUCUAAAUCUUUUACAAGAUAAAAAAUAUUUUUAAAUUAAAUAUUUGAAUUACAAACAUUGACUUUUGAAAUUUUAUAUUUAAUAUUGAGUUUUUUACCAUUAGCACCAUAAAGACGUUCAAUAGUUUUUUCCAAAUAUUUUGUAGGGAUUAAUCAUGCUCGGAUACAAUUUUGAUUAGCACCAGAAUCAAUAAGGACGCUAGAAGUAAAUUUGAAUUCUUUGUUGACAACAAUAGUUAUAUUGUAGUACCAUUUUUGAAGUUGUAUUCGAUUAAUUACAUUAAUCUUUUCUUCUUCAGAUUGAGGAUUUGAAUUUUCAUGAAGAAUAUAAUCUUCAUCAAAGGAAUCUGAAGAGGAAGAAACUUUAGAUUUUUGUUUCAAAUGUUGAGUUUUGAGAAGUGAAACUUCUAUACGAACAUCUUUUAAUUAAUCUUCAAGAUUGGGAAUUUGGGAUUUCGUAAGAUUAAUUUCUGAUUUUAGAUUAGAGCAGGAGGAUUAUGAAGUUUCAUUUUGAAAGCGAUUCAUAACAUUUUGCAUAUUGAAAGGCUUAAAAAUAGUAUUUUGAAGUUGAAGGUAAAAGAGUACUGAACUUAUUUUUGAGCCGUGGAUCAUCAAUUUGAUCUACAUUCUCUUUAAUAAGUCCUUCUUGUUUAGUAAGAAUAUUUAUAGUUUUACAAUUACAAAAUUCUUUACUUUGAUUGGAAGAAGAAGAAUUUAAGGUCGUAUCAACAUCAGAAUCUUCUUGAUGUUGAUAAACCUAUUCUAAAUUAGAAAUUGAUUCGUCAUCAGACUAGAACUGAAAUUAAUAAGAUUGAGAAGUUCAAUUUUAAUAUCUUCAUCAAUUUGAAGAUUAUUAAUUUUUCCUUUCAAAGGACACUUGUUAGAAUAAUGUCUUGGCUUUUUAUACUUCCAACAAGUAAUAUUAGAUGUCUUUUUUGAAAAUUGUCGUUUUUUGAAAUUUUUUCCUAGAAGGAUAUUUUGAAAAUUCUAUUCUUUUGAAUAAAAUUUUCGUUUAGAAGAAAAAUUCUUUAUUUUUAUUUUUGAAGGACAAACAAUUUUCUCAAAUCUAUAUUGUUCACAAAAAGAUCCAAGUUAUUUACGACUACCAAGUCUUUCUGAGUUCAAUUUGACUUUGAUCUUGAGUUCAUUACAGAGAGCUAAUCCUUAUCUAUUAAUAAAAUAGAUUAAUUCUCUAUGACUAAGAUUAUCAUGAGGAAUAAUAUUAUUAUUAUUAUCUCUUCCUAUUGAAUUUUUGACUCUUUCUGAAAAAAGUUUUGGAAGUUAAGAUAGAUAUCUUUCUUUCCAAUAAGAUUGAUUAUAAUCAUUUUGUAAAAAGACACGUGUUAACAAAUCUUUAUACCAACGAAAAUCUUGUAAAGGAGAACAAUUUAGAUUAAUCAAAACAUCAUAUACUUUUUCUAAAAUAUUUGUAGGAAUUCCAAUAAAAUAUUUGAUUAUACUGUAAAUGAGAAUUAGUAAAACUAUCGUUUGUACCAUCGUCUUCUAUAGCAUUAGCAAUAAUAUUUUUAUUGUUUUCAUUUAAAUAUUUGAAUGAACUACCAAUUAUUUAAUUGGCCAAAAAAAACCUUGAGUAAUAUUAUUGGUAUCUUGAAUAGGAGUAUCUCCUUCAUGAAUAUAAGCUCUAUAACAAGCACCCAUUUGUUCUUGGAAUUGCAUAAUUUGAUAUUCAAAUAAACCAUCUAAAUUCCAAACAGUAAUUCGUUUCCAUAAAAAGUUGUGGGUUUUUGAUUUUUUUCUUCAAAAAAUAAACCUAGAGUAGUAUGUUGAGGAUCAUAAGCUAGAAUUUUUGAAUUUUGUCCUCAUAAUUUAUUGAUAUGAGAAUUUCAUUGUCGAUAAAUUGAGAUUCAAUUUAAUCAAUAGUAUUGAUGUUGUUUGAAGUAGAGGAAGAAGAUAAUUUUGAUAACUGAGUUGCUAGUUCUUUCAGAACAUUAAGCUCAGUUUCAAGAUUUUUUGGAGUAGCCUCAUGUAACUUUAUUAAGGCUGGUUCCGUGAUUUGUUUAGAAGAUUUGAAGAAGUAGAUCUUAGAUCAAGAAUUUAUUUCAAUUCUAUUAGGUUGAUAACAUAUAGAUUGAAGAACUACGUUAGUGACUUAGUGUAGUUAUUUUAAGAUUGAAUAUUUUUGAUAGCUUUAGCUACGACUUAAGAAUCAACAAGUUGUUUUGUAAAUAUCUUUUUGAAGGGGACGCACAGUAUUCCGUUAAAAUACUACAACUUCUAUAUGAGGAUGUAAAGAUUGAAUAGUAUCACUAGAAGGAGUUUUCCAAGUUGUUUUUUUUUUGAAUUAUCAGUAUUUUGAUUAAAUUUUCUUUUCAAUUUUUUACCAUAAACUUUGAAAUAAACUCAUUCAUAGAAACUUAAAUCUUUUGAAAAUUCUUCAUAAUCUUUUAAAAAGAUUCUCUUUCUUCUUUUGAAAAACUUUGUUGAUUUUUAUUUAUUUAUUUUUUUUUAAAAUUUGACAUCACACACACGCACAUAUGUAUGUAGGCAAAAAUUGAUAUGUCAGGUAUAUUGCUUAUAUCAAUUCAUAAAUCAGAUACAAAAUUUAAAAAUUCAAAAUUCAAAUUUCUAUAUAAUUAAUUGAAAAUAUUUACUAAUUAAAUAUAAUAAAGUCACAGUUACACGAUUAAUUGUCACAGAUUCAUAAUUAUCGGUCAUAGAUUUACUUAUUGGUCACAUAUCAUCGAAUGAAUUGGUUACAGAUUAUUUCGAGGUCACAGAUGAAAAAUUUAUACGUUACAAAUUAUUUCAUUGGUCACAGAUAAAAAAUUUUGUAGGUCACAGCUCACAUCAUUGGUCACAAAUUCAAAAACCUAUAGGUUGCAAGUCACAUAUUUUCAAAUUUGAUGGUCACGGAUUACUUUUUAAUGUCACAGUUUACGGUCACAAUCACAGAUUGGACCAAAUAGUUGGUCACAGACAUCCAACAUUCGAUCCCGACGACACCACCACCACCACCACCACCACCAACAACAACACAACCACCACCAGAAACCAUCGUAGCCACCAGGACCACCACGAUAGCCAAAAAACACUUCUAAACACACCCAACAAUACACCACCUUCCUACCUCACCAACAACAUUGCACCCAUAGUACCACUAAACAGAAGCACCACCAUCGCUGCACCACUACCACAACCAACAAAAACACUCCUAUCCCACAGCGUCCCACCACAACCACAACCAUCGCUACCGCUUCCACAACUAGCACCACAACCAACAUGGCAACCACAUCCUCCCAAAAACCACCAAAAGUGAAAGAGAUAACACCCAAAAUCACUAUCUACUGAACGUAGUAGAAGGUCAAGGUCAUGAAUUUGCUUUGAGAACCAAUCGACGACCAUGUCGAGGCCCGAUUGUACAUCGCAUAUGCUUCAAGUGACGACAAUCAUCACCGCUCUUUGCGGUAUCUACAAUGAUGCCGAUGUUGCGAGCCACUAUGCAAUGAUGCUCAUACGUUCAAAGGAGGUCGUCGCUAUGACGCUGUGGUCUCCGAAGAUGGUGGCUAUUCGUGUGAUGGAGAGGAUAGAGAGACGAGAGGGGGAGAGAGAGACUGACCGAAAGACGGGAGAGAGAGAGAGAGAGAGAGAGAGAGAGAAUGAAAGAUGGAUUGGGAUGAAAGUGGAUUGAUAUAUUUUUUGAUUAACCUAAUACCGGAGAUUUGAUUAGAAAAGUUGGGCCCAUGAUUUAUGCACGGUAAACUUGAAAUCCCUAGGACAGUGUAAUUUCCUCUAUGUAUAUAUAUACUUAUGGGUUGGGCUUUCAUUACUUUAAUUGGGCGAGCUUCCAUAACUCUUUUCUUAAAUAGGUUACAUUAACCAACUUAAGAUUAUAAAAUUUGGGACCUCACAAAAUCUAACUCAACACUUCAAACAAGGAAAAUAAUUCUUUAAUUCUAGCAAUAUGCAGGUUACCUCACACUAUAACUCCAAGCCUAAUGGCCAAACUAUGUGAUGGCCUGCUAGUACAAAAUUUGAAAGUUAUAAGCUAAUUUAUUGAGCAGACCAAAUGUACGAGUCGUAUAUAAGGAGAGGUGCGAAUUUAUCAAUUAAGGGUAGCAAUUGUAGAAACAUUAGCAUCAAAGUUGGAGAUUCGAAUAGCCAAGGACAAAAUGGUUCAGAAUCAAAAUAUUGCGUAAAAUUGAUAAUGAUCACCAUCGCAGGGUUUCCAAUGCCUCUUGGAACAAACUGUAUUUUUGGACCACUACUAAUAUCCUACCAUGUGGUCACAUGCACGAGCACUGUAACUGUACAUGGUGCUCAUUCAUCGUUAUCUCUAGUGGCAUGUACAACACGUGUUCCAUACCAUUACCUUUGACUCAAUGUCAGGAGUCAAAAUAUGUCCUCUAUUUUACCAACAUGUCUUCUAAUUUUCCAUAAAACCCAAUUUCAGUUCAUUUGGAUUUUGUUGGGUUUUGUGAUACCCAAUAAUCUGGGCGAUGAUUUAAAACAGUUGUCGAAUUAUUUAUCGACACCAUGGACUUGGCUCGGCUCGGAGAUGAACUACACUUUUGGAUGGCUCGGGUUUGGGUUGGAUGAUUAUUUGUUUAGUUGGACUAUUCAGUGAUUAAUAUAGAGUUGAAUAUUGGCCCAUUAGUUUAGGUUAAUUGGUAGCCCUCUUAGUGAACCCUAGGCCCAAUUGGAGUGACCUAAACUAACCUAUAUAUAUGUAUUUAUCUCCCACCCAUUUUGGUGGUGUAUGUAUAUUGUAGCAAUGGAAAGGAGAGUUGAGAGAAGAGAUGCAGUCGAGAGAGAGGGAAGCCAUGUGAGGUUGUGAGUAAGAUUCAAUCAUUGUGAUAUCUUCUUCUUCCUCUCCAUAUCUUUGUGGAUUGCUAACACCACCACCCUUCUCCUUUGUGGGGUUUGAGAGAUUUUGGACAGUCCAAAGUGAAGGCGAAAGUCUCGGGUUGAAUCGAGGUAAAUCGGUGUUCGUUUGAUUAUUUUCUAAUUCAGAAAUCAAGAUUUAUCGAGAGAUUUCCACUAGAAAUGGUAUCAGAGCUUGUGUUGUUGAUAAAUCUGUGAUUUUUGAGGCUAAAAACGGACUGAAAGUGGUCAGAAACGAAUCUGAAAAUCAGAGGCAGAAACUGUUUAAUUUUUUCAAUUUUCUGCCGAAUCUGUUUUGGCGUUUUAUGGUGAAACCAAAAGGAUUUUGGCAAAAUGGACACUACCAAUGGACUGUGCAGGCGGAGAAGAAGCCGAAAAUGUGACAGGUUGCCGGCGCGUGGAAACUCCGGCGUAGGUGCGUGAGGAUGUGUGGAUGAGAAUCUAGAGAAGUUAUUUUCAGGCAGUUUGUUCCUCUCAUUAUUUUUAACAUUUUUUGUGUUGGACGUUUUCUGUUUCAGGUUACGUAGAAAAAGUUGGAUGAUUUUGCCCUUGGACGUUCGGGUGCCGGGUGCUGUUUUCGUGUUGCUGUUGUUGUUGACUUUAGGAUGAAUAGUGAUAGUCUUGAAGUAGUGAAUUUACGUCUCUCGAUAUUUAUGGACCUUCAGACGUGAUCCGCUUGGUAUCGUAUUCUUUGCUUUUUAUUAUUGCAGUUGAAAUAAAUGUGUAGAGUAAUUUAUUUUUUGCAUUAGAGGUCAUCGUGUGGGGUGACAUUAGGUUUGGGGUUAUCAUGAAAGGGUAACCAUUGCCUGUUGCUAGACCUAGAAAUUAUUUGUUAAUUAUUUGCCUUAAAUUAUUUGUGAAUUUGCCAUCAAUUUUUCUACAUUAUUAGAAUUGCAUGUGGCCUUAGAAAAGUUUACUGGACUAUUCUAUGUGAAUUAUGUUCAUACUUUACUUGUAGUCAUUAUUUGGCAUUGGUGGAAAAUGUAGGUCUAAGGUAACUGCGAAAAAUAACAUAUAUUUUGACUGUGGUAAAAUUUAGACAGUUGAAAGAGAUUGUCCUAGGAUGAUAAUAAAAGGAAACAUGAGGAUAGAGACAAGGCGAAUGUGACUUUAGGGUCGAGUAGUGAUCCUAGUGAGGUUUAUUGAGAGAAUAAACUUGGUUUUUGCAUUGCAUCUGUGUGUAAUUCUCUCUGAAUGUAUAUGAUUACUUAAUUAUGUUGCAAUGUUGAUGUUACACUUUCAAUAUGUUUGAUGUGUGUAAUUGUAUGAAUUAGAGUGACUUAUUACUUUGUGUAAUAUGUUUACAUGCAUAGUGGGUUAAGUUUUGUGGCGUACUCUAUUUGCUCUGUGAGUGGUGUGAGAGUGUGGUAGUGAGAAGAAAGUUGGGUAACCAUUUAUCUCAUUUAUCUUUGUGAGCUCGCGUGAUUUGUGAGAUUAUGUGAAGCAGCCAUGUUAAGGUUAUAUUCUUCCUCUUUGUGAGCCUUCUUUGUGAGUGUUGUGAAGUAAUUGACUCUUUUUUCAAUUUUUCUUUGUGAGUGCCACCUUCGCCAUUUUCUUUGUGGAUUUUUUGGAGCUUUGGUGAUUGGGGUAACCUUCGUGGUCACCGAAAGGUGUUAAUUUGCCAUAGUGAGUUUGAGAUGCAUUAAUAGUGUGUUGUGUGUCUUUUGGUAAAGUGGGGUUUAGAUGCCUAGAGGUGCAUUAGUGAUAUGCACAAGGGAUGUAGAGUGUGACAUUUGGAUCACGAGUGGAGAUGUGAUCAAAUGUGUAGAAUCCUUUAUCUGUAAAAGAGACUCUAUACAGGUGGAGUGUGAGAGAGGUACUUCUAUCACUUCUGUAAGGUGGAAUCUCAUUAUCCACGUAGGUUGGGAAAAGUGAUGUGGUGAUAGAGGAUUAUCCCGAGAGCUUAGGAUCUAUUGUGACUUGUCAGUUAGACAUGAGUUAAGUGAUUGGUUUAGUAAACAUUGUGAGCGAUGAGAGGAGAUAUGUGUUCUCGAGGUGUAAGCAACACAGAAUGGGAUAGGAUAAGUGUGGUGAGAUCUUUUCUUAAGGUCAUUUAUCCAUGUGUAGCAUAUGUGGUUGACUGUGGUUUGAUUAACUAGGUGUUAAUCUGUGCUUCUGUGUGAACGUGAUUUUGAAAAGAUCCGUGUGUGUGUUAUCCUAUAUAUCUUCAUCGCAUGAUUGUUUGUUCAUUGUGAAUACUUGUUUCUACUUGGGUAUUUUUCACCUUAGCCCUGGUGAGUACAUAGAGCGAGUAUAGUAUGUGUUUCGGUUCGAAACACGAGGUAAGGUCUGUUAUUCCAAUUUUAUUGGAUUACCUUGAUUGUGCAAGUAUAAACUGUGUGUUUUGGUUGCUUGCAGAUUAUUGGGCAUCAAGGUGGAGAUUGUUGGGUUUUUUGAUACUCAAUAAUCCGGGCGAUGAUUUAAAACAGUUGUCGGAUUAUUUAUCGACAUCAUGGACUUGGCUUGGCUCGGAGACGAACUACACUUUUGGAUGGCUCAGGUUUGGGUUGGAUGAUUAUUUGGUUAGUUGGACUAUUUUGUAAUUAAUAUGGAGUUGAAUAUUGGCCUAUUAGUUUAGGUUAAUUGGUAGCCCUCUUAGUGAACCCUAGGCACAAUUGGAGUGAUCUAAACUAACACAUAUAUAUAUAUAUGUAUAUGUAUAUACAUACAUAUAUAUACAUAUAUAUAUAUAUAUAUAUAUAUAUAUAUAUAUAUAUAUGUAUAUAUNNNNNNNNNNNNNNNNNNNNNNNNNNNNNNNNNNNNNNNNNNNNNNNNNNNNNNNNNNNNNNNNNNNNNNNNNNNNNNNNNNNNNNNNNNNNNNNNNNNNNNNNNNNNNNNNNNNNNNNNNNNNNNNNNNNNNNNNNNNNNNNNNNNNNNNNNNNNNNNNNNNNNNNNNNNNNNNNNNNNNNNNNNNNNNNNNNNNNNNNNNNNNNNNNNNNNNNNNNNNNNNNNNNNNNNNNAUGUAUAUAUGUAUAUACAUACAUGUAUAUACAUACAUGUAUAUAUGUAUAUAUAUAUAUAUAUCUCCCAGCCGUUUUGGUGGCGUGUGUGUGUGUGUUGUAGCAAUGGAGAGGAGAAUUGGGAGAAGAGAGGCAGCCGAGAGAGAGGGAAGCCAUGUGAGGUUGUGAGUAAAAUUCAACCAUUGUGAUAUCUUCUUCUUCCUCUUCAUACCUUUGUGGAUUGGUAACACAACCACCAUUCUCCUUUGUGGGGUUUGAGAGAGUUUGGGCAGUCUAAAGUGAAGGCGAAAGUUUCGGAUCGAGUUGAGGUAAACCGGUGUUCGUUUGAUUGUUUUCUGAGCCUGGAAUCAAGAUUUAUCGAGGGAUUUCCGCUAUAGAUUUAUUUUCAACAUUUUUUCUUCCUAUUUUCUAUAGAAGUCCAUUUCUGCUUCUUUCCAGCUGAUUUUGCACAAAGUCAACUUGCUAUUGUAUAUCUAAUAGCUUUGAUAUCAUUUGUUAUGGAAAUUAUACACCAAGAACUUUGAAUCGUAUUAUCAAUGCUCAGUUUCUCAAUAAACUGAAUCAAACACCAACCAAUCAAAGGCUCAACCAAAUCCAAACUUCUCACUAUGGUUGCCCUCUUGUGAACAUUACCCACAAAGAAUAAUAUGGUGGAUGCAUUUAACAAUAAAGGAAAGAGGGGGAAUAAAAUAAUGGUUCAACAUUCGCCAAGAACGGUUGACUCUCUUUUCUCGCAAUAAAAUUGCAACACUCAGUUUACUCCACAAAGGGGCUAACAUAUAUAUAUAUAUAUAUAGCUUUAGGUUACAACACAUGAGCUAAGACACAACAAAUUGGGCUAAGACUUAAUAACAAGAGGUGGACCAAAAAUUAAAACAAAUUGAGCUAAACAAGGUGGCCUGACAAGACUAAAAGGACCGUCCAACUAAUGUACAUACCACGAGCAACAUAAAUUAACAGCUACUUCAAGUGGCUUAAUUUGUGUUUCGGGUCAAGCCGAUUAAUUGUAGUGUUGAUAUAUUAAUCCAACCAUUUUAGUAUUAUUGUCCGAAAUUUAUUGGGUAUCAAAACCCAAUAAACAAUACCAUGACACCCAUAUAAUCUAUCCCUAAUAUGAUCGAAAGGAAGUAUGCCUACAACCUGGAAUGACCAAGCAUUGUAUAAUAUAUUGAGUAGUGAUAGGCGCAUUUUAUAUACUUAUGUGGACUUUUAUACUCUCCUUUUUUUUUUUUUUUUAUAAGCUAAUUGGAUGGAUAUCUACUUAACUUUGUGGACCAUAUGUUAAUCAUUGUAUCAAUCGUUAAUUUAUCAUGAGACAAAAUCUACAUAUUCAAUAGCCUAAAAUUCGAUGCAACUCACUAAAUAAUCAAAACCAUGAUAAAUACUUUGCAUGUUCUGCUUUUUGAAAUAGUUACUAUAUAAAUUGUGCAAAUGGUUAGCUCGAAAAUGAGAAUAAGAAAAUAUUUUUGUGAAAUCUAUAUAUUUCACGAAAAAUUGUCUUGUAUUUAUGGUCAGAUUUACAAGAUGUAAAUAUACACAAAGAUAGGAGAUAUAAAAAACUAGGAAACUGAUAACUCUAUCUAACCAAAUGAAAAGUAAAAGAUUAAAAGUUUAUAAGAUUUAGAUAUAUACAAAGAUAUGAUUUUUAUUUUCAUCCCAUAUCCCUAGCGAUGUCAAAAAGGCUCGGUGGCUCGGACCAACCGAGCCAAAGCUCGGGCCGAGCCCCAAAAUGGGGCAUCCGCCCGAGCUCGAGCUGGGCCGUGGAUUGACCGGCCGGCCUGUUUAAUUUAAAAAAAAAUAACAAAAAAUUAAAAAAAAGGCUUGCCUGCCUAUAUUGUGCUGCCUCAACAGUCAGCUUAUAGCUGACUGUUGAGGCAGUAGCUUUAUAGCUGCCUAUUGGCAGCAGUUAACCUGCUGCCAACAUGUAGUAGAUUUGUUGCUAGUUCGUUAACUGCUGCCAACAUGUAGUAGAUUUGUUGCUAGUUCGGCAGCAGUCUAGCUGCCUGUUGAGGCAGCAUUCUAUAGCUGCCAACAGGCAGCUUUAAUUAUAAAGCUGCCUGUUGGGCAACAAUUAAGAGAAAAAAAAAAUUUUAAAAAAAGAAAAAGAAAAAAGACACCAAAACACGAGCAGACUCGGCUCGGUAAUGCCCGAGCCAAAAGUUCGGGUCGAGCUUUAUUUUUUUGAGUCGAGCCAGCUCGACUGGGGCCAAAAAAAGCCCUUAUUGAAAAAGCUCGAGCUGAGCACAAGCCGGGAGUUUCGGCUCGCGAGCCGGCUCGGCUCGGCUCGGCUCGUUUACACCCCUAUUGAUAUCCCCAUCAUGAUGGAGAUAGGAUUGAAAUAUCAAGAACACUUAACUUGCGAAGUAGUCGGUGAUAAGCGUCACCUCCAAGUAGUUUGGUAAAAAGGUCUGCCAAUUGGUCGCUAGAUUGAAAUAAGGAAUCAAUAAGAAGAUUUGCUUGAAUCUUUUCUCGAACAAAAUGAUAUUUUAUUUUAGUAUGUUUGGAACGUUCGUGAAAUGUAGGAUUUUUGACAGUGUGAAUAGAAGCUUGGCUGUCACAAUGAAUUGAAAUUGGUUGUGGAUGAUUAAUAUGAUUAAUGUCAUGGUUCGAGAGAAGAUAUUUUAACCAUUGUAGCUCAGAAGUAAGUACAGCAAGGUAACGGUAUUCUACUUCUGUAGAAGAAUGAAAAAUUGUUGGUUGUUUCUUGAUUUUCCAAGAAAUUGGGUAUUGAUAAAAUAACCAGUGGAGGAAAGAUGAGUUGUAAGACAGCUGGCCUAUUUAGAGUUAGUAUAUUCGACAAAAGUUAGAGAACUAGAUUCAGAAGCGAAUAAACCUUUACCAAUGCUACCUUUAAGAUAACGAAGAACCUAAUUGGUAGCAACAAGAUGAGAGGAAUAUGGAGAUUGCAUGAAUUGACAAAGAGUAUUUAAAGCAUAUUGAAUAUCAUGUCGUGUUACAAUAAUAUAUAAAAGACGACAAAUGAGUCGAUGAUAGAUAGUUGAAUCGGGAAGGGAAGUCCAUUGUUUGGUCGUAAAUGGAGUAUUGCUUUAUAGGAAAAUCUAAUGGUCGAGAAUCAAUUAUACCAGAGGCAGAUAAUAUGUUAAGAGUAUAUUUUCAUCGACAGCAAUUUUUUAAGGUGAGAUACUUCAAUACCUAAAAAAUAUCAUAGAUUGUCCAUAUCUUUUAUUGACAAAGUUUGAGCACGAAUUUUAUUUUUUUUUUAUUUUUUGUUGUUGUUAGAUAUUACAUCAUUAUUAUAUUCAGUGAUAAUGAUAUCAUUGACAUAGUUGAGAACAAAAAUAGAAGUCUGAUCACGAAUAUAAGUAAAAAGACUAUAGUUUGAAAUAAAUUGACAAACACCUCGAUGAAUAAAAGUGGUUGAGAAUUUGGAGAACCACUCACGAGAAGCCUGUUUAAGACUAUAAAUACAUUUAUUUAAUUUGUAUACACGAGUUUAGAGGAAAUUUGGAAAGGAGUUUCAUUUAAACUUCUUCAUGGAGAUUUCCUUGGAGAAAAGUAUUGUUGACAUCAAGUUGGUACACUGACCAAUUUUUAAUGUUAGCAAUAGGGUGAAGAAGACGAACGGUGACUAGUUUGGCCACAUGUGCAAAGGUAUCAUGAUAAUCAAUUCCUUCAACUUCAGCAUAACCUUUGGCAACUUAACGAGUAUCAUAUCUCAAUAGAAUCAUCAUAUUGAUAUUUAAUUUCAUAGACCCAUUUACAACCGCUGGGUUAUUUUCCUUUAUGAGGUGAGCAUAAAGAUCAAGUAUUGUUUGAUUCAAGGGCCAGAAUUUCUUUGGCCAUGGCAUCAUGCCAUUUGUUAGAUUUCAUGGCUUGGAAAUAAAUUUUUGUUUCUUGUUUUUCAAUGAUAUUAGUUAGGAAGCACGAUGAGAAUGGAUUAGAUGGAACAAAGAAAAUUAAUUUGCUACUGAAAAAUUAGUUCAGAAUGAAAGAUGAUUACCAAUAUAAUCCUUGAGAUAACCAGAUGGGCGAUGAAUUCAUUGAGGGUGAAUACUAAUGAUAGGAACAAGUUCCAUCGAAGAGAAAUUGGCGGAGGGAAUGUCAUUAGAAGUAGUGGAAGAAUGGUUGAGCGAUCAAGUUGAGAAGAUGUGGUAAUAGGCACUAGAUAAUAAUUGAAUUAAUCAAUGAGAUUAUAAGGGAUUGAAUCACUCGAUGGAACAUCAGUUGAAACAAUUGAUUGUGUAGUGGAGUAAUCAAAUGUUAUAUCGUCGUUGAUUAGAUUAAUGGUAAUUGAAUUUUUCAACAAUGAAGAUGAAAGAUCAUGAUAAGUAAUAAUUGACUCAUAAAAUAUUACAUCAUGAGAAAUAUAGAUUUGAUGAGUUUUGAAAUCAUAUAUAUGAUAUUCCUUUUGACUAGACAUAAAACCAACAAAAAUAUGAGGCUUGGUUCGCUCAUCAAAUUUAUGUUGUAUAAUCAUAAUUUUAGAAAGAUAUAUAUUCAAAAAGUCGAAGAGAUGAAUAUGAUGGAACAGUUCCAAGUAAAACUUGAUGAGGUGAUUUAUAUUUAAGGAUUGGAGUUGAAAAGUUUAUUAAUAAGAAGGGAAACGAUGAGAAUACAUUCACCCCAAAGAGAAAGAGGCAAGUUUACUUUAGAGAUCUCGCAACAUAAAAUAGAUGCCAAUGCUUAUGUUUUGCAAUGCCAUUUUGUUGGGGGAUCGCAAUGAAACUACGUUUGUGAAUGAUUUCAAUUUCAUUAAACCUCGUUUGAAGUUGUUUAGAAAGAAAUUUGAACCAUUAUUUGAACGAAUGGUUUGACAUUGAGGAAGAAAAUUGUCCCCAUUACAAGAGUUGAUACGAGCGAUUUUUGUGUUGAAUUGACGAUUGAUUAAUUUAAAUCAAUGAAUUAACAUGUUGAAAGUUUCAUACAUAUGUUUCAUUAAAUACGUCCAAGUACACCAUGACUAAUCACCAACAAUAAUUGAAAAGAAACUUGGUACAUUUUUAGAAGCUAUAAAGAAAUAACCCCAAAUGUCAACAUUAAUCAAUCUAAAGCAAUCAGAAGAACAAAGAUGUACUUUGAGAAAAUGAAAGAUGUGAUUGUUUAGUUCACGGACACACACACACACAUAUAUGAUUAGAAGCACUUGUAUCGAUAAUCCAACUAGAGGAUAGACAAGCAAUAGUUGUGCCUACCAAAUUGAUUGAUGAUCCACCAUAUCCCUCUUUAGCUAGAAGAGCAAGAAGCUUGUUGUAUUGUUUAGGUAUCAACUAACUAUCAAAAGUAGAAGUAGAUGGCGAUGUGCAUGUUUUUUUCACCUGCUUAUCUGGGAAGCCAUAUAUUUGAUAGCAUUUACCAAAAGUAUGACCAUGCAGUCAUGCUUGUUGCAAUGUUCACAAAAAAGGCGUUGGUGCUUUUCAAAAGGUUGAGUAUUUGGUUUAGAUGCUGAAGCGUUGUGAAAUUAAUGGUAGGAAUUAUUCGAAAUAAAGAAGCAAAAAAUGGUGAAAAAUAGAUAAUCCAAAGUUUGAGGACACAAUUGUCACUUUUCAAUAGUUGACUAGGACCACAAAAUGAUAAUUAAAGAUUGUUAGGAAUCAAUUGGACACAAUUAAAAGUAAAAAAAAUUAGUGAAAUAUGAUCAAAGUAUUUUCAGAAAUCAAAUUUUAAUUGCACAAGUUAUAUUUCAUAUUUUUAUUUGGAGAUUGAAAUCAAUUUUUGGUAUAAUAAAUGUUCAAAUUGGAAAAAAUGUUAAUUCUAAUAAAAUUGUAAUCCUUUAAGUUAUCUUUACAAUGCAUUUAGAAUCGCUUCAAUUGGAUAUAGAAAUGAAAGAUAUGAUAAAAAAUACUGACAUGUGCUUAGAGAAAAAAACAUGUACGCGUUAAAGUAACUUUUCUUAUUCAAUUGGAACUCUUUUUGGUUUCAACUUUGGACGACUUUUUAGCCAUAUUUCAAGAUCUAUAAAUAAAAAAGAAUAGAAUACAUUUAAGGAACCUCUCAUAUACCAUUAUCCAUCAAUUGUAUCAAUUAAAGAGAUGCAAAUUCAUUGAUCUUGUGAGAAAAAUUCAAGGCAAUUUCAAGAUUUCGUCAAAUUGAAAAUUCAACCUUGAUUUUUGGGCAAACAGCAAGAAGAUAUAUCGGAGAUUCAUCAAGAAACCAUUGAAGAUGUUCAAAAUUUCAAAAUUCAUCAGUUUCAAAUUCGGGUUAUAUUCUUCCAAUUGAACAUGUAUUCAUGUGAUUUCUUGAUGCUAGGCUAGGGUUUCUAUUACUAAGGCAUUGAUGAAUCCUUGUUAUGAUGUUUUGAUAUAAAUUUGAUAAUUUUGAACUCCCAAUAUAUGUUUAUUCUUGGAUGAUUGUUAUAUAAUUUAAUGGCUUUUCAAUUACUUGAUCACUAAUUGGUUUGAUUGUGAAUGUUAUUGAUUCUCAAGAGAGAUGAUAGAAUAUAUAACGCUUAAUAAAAUCAUUGCAAAGUUUGAUUAGGGAUAGAAAUUAAUGUUAUACUUUGCAAAAUUUCUAUUGAUGCUCUAGCGUGUUUAAUGUAUUCUUUCAUGUUCACAUCUAUUGUAAAGAUAUAGGAAGACCACAUCAGAGAAUACAUCAAGAAAUGCUUUUAAUUAAAUUAGAAACAUUGAUCAACAUGAACGUACACAUAUUGUCAAGUUAUUGAAUUGCAUUAAAAAUAAGGGAGAUUCUAGGCCUUAGUAACAUUAUCAUCUGAAUUUACAUAAGCUCAUAAUUUGAUCACUAAAAUUGUUAAUUUAAUUAAUUCAUCAGUACAAUUUCUCUAAAUAAGUUUUGCUAUUUGAUUAAAAUUAACAUUAAUUGACACUAGAUUAAGUAUGUGGUCCUCGUGGAAAUGGUACUUUAUUCAUCAUGUUAUUACUUAUUCGCAAUACAAUACACUUGAGAAAAAUCUAGUGAACGACACUUUAAAUUAUUUCAAAAUCAAGGAAACAAUCUUAAAUUUGAAUCUUGCAUUUCGUUCUCAGUUUCUCAAUAAACUGAAUCAAAUACCACCUCGUUAAAGGCUCAACCCAAAUCCAAACUUCUUACUAUGGUUGUCCUCUUCUAAACGUUAUCCACAAAGGAUAAUAUGGUGGAUGCAAUUAACAACAGAGGCACAGAGAAGGAAGGAAGCAAUGGUUCAACGCUCACCAAGAACGAUUGUCUCUCUUUUCUCACAAAACAAUUGCAAUAUACGGUUAACUCCACAAAGGGGCUAACGUAUAUGUAAUUUUAGGAUAAAGUACAUGGGCCGAGAUUCAACAACAGAAUGUGGACCCAAUUUUAGAUUCGGUUGGAUUGAUUUUCAACAUUUUGUUUCCUACUAUCUGCGAAAGUCCGUUUGUGCUUCUUUCUAGCCGAUUUUGCACAAAUUCAACACUAUUAUUGUAUACCUAACAGCCCUGAUACCAUUUUUUGUGGAAAUUAUUGACCAAGAACUUUGAAUCGUAUAAUCCAUGCUCAGUUUCUUAAUAAACAGAAUCGAACACCAACUAAUCAAAGGCUUAACCCAAAUCCAAACUUCUCACUAUGGUUGCCCUCUUGUAAACAUUAACCACAAAGAAUAAUAUUGUGGGAAGAGAGAAGGAAGAAAGCAAUGGUUCAACACUCAACAAGAAUGGUUGACUUUCUUUUCUCACAAUACAAUUGCAACCCACGGUUACUCCACAAAGGGGCUAACGUGUAUAUGUCUAUAGCUUUAGGUUACAACACAUUGGCUAAGACACAACAAAUGGGGCCGACUUAACAACAAGAGGAGGACCAAAAACCAAAGCAAAUUGGGCUAAACAAGAUGGCCCAACAAGAAAGAUAAAAUGGGCUUUAACACCUAGAAGGACCACCGUCCAACUAAUGAACAGGCCACAAACAACAUAAAUUAGUAGCUGUUUCAAGUGGUCCAAUUUGUUUUUGGGUCAAGCCAAUCAAUUGUAAUGUUAAUAUAAUUAACAAACAAUCAAUACCAUGACAAUCAUAGGGCCUGUUUGGGCCCAUUUUUUUACCCAAAAAAUUGAUUUUUUGACCGUUAUUUCACUAUUCCAGCCGUCAUAUUUGAUUUCUUUUUUCACAAGUGAACCCCACUUUUUUCCUAACGAUCAAAAUAUCAAUUCUCAAAAUCACUCCCAAACAUACUCAUAGAAUCUAUCCCUUAUAUGAUCAAAAGCAAGUAUGCCUACAACCUGGAAUGACCAAGCAUAGUGUAAUAAGUUAAGUAGUGAUAAGCAUAUUUUAUAUACUUAAUUGAUUGGACUUCUAAUUUCUUUUUUACUGCUAAUUGAAUGGAUAUGUACUUAAUUUUGUGGCAAAUAUGUUAAUCAUUUUACCUAGCAUUGACUUAUCUUGAGACGAAAUCUACAUAUUCAAUAGCAAAAAGUUAAUGCAACUCACAAAAUAAUCAAAACCAUGACACCCACUUUGUGAGUUCUAUUUUUGCAUAGGUUGCUAUAUGAAUUGUGGAAAUGGUUAGCUAGCAAAUGAAAAUAAGCAAAUAUUUUUGCUAACUUUAUAUAUUUCACUAAUUAUCUUGUAUUAUCACGAAAACGAAGAUCAAAAUGAGAUCUUGAGCUUCUUGCUUACCUGUGACUAUCCCCCUACUUUUCAUGAGACAUAGCAACAGGAUUUCAUAGAAAGAAAGCAUUCUAGUAGAUGGCACACAUAACCAACCCAGUUGAGCUGCUAGGGGUGAAGAGCUCAGUGGACGGUGAAGCUUUUGAACAGGAGAGUACAAACUGGUGAACUAGGAAUAGCCCUUUCCACAAAUCUUCCUUGGCCUUAACCUUAAACUACUACCCUACUGCUAUUAAAUCAAUCAAUCAGCAUAGGAGCCAUUCUUUAGCUAAUUAAACUUUCAAAGAGAUAUGGUCAGAUUUACAAUAUUUAAAUAUACACAAAGAUAUGAAAUAUACAAGAAGUUAGGAAAUUGUUAAUUCUGUCGAACCAAAUAAAAUGUAAAAUAACUUUUACAAGAUUUAGAUGUAUACAAGAUAGGAUUUUAUUUUCGUCCAAUACCCCUCUCAAGUUGGAGAUGGAAUUGAAAUGUCAAGAACACCUUACUUCUGAAGUAGUCGGUGAUAAGCAUCACCUCCAAGAUGUUCGGUAAAAAGGUUCGCCAUUUGGCCACUAGAUCGUAAGUAGGAAGGAGUAAGAAGACAUGCUUGAAUCUUUUCUCAAACAAAAUGAUAGUCAAUUUCAAUAUAUUUGGAGCGUUCACGGAAUACAGGGUUUUCGACAAAUGUGAAUAGCAACUUGGUUAUCACAAUGAAUUGAGAUUGGUUGUAGGUGAUUAAUACCAAGAUUCAAGAGAAGAUAUUUUAAUCCUUGCAGCUUAGAAGUAAGUGCAACAAGGGAAUGAUAUUCUGCUUCUGUAGAAGAAAUAGAACUGUUGGUUGUUUCUUGAUUUCCAGGAAACAGGACUAGAAUCUAAUAUGAUAAAAUAAUUAGUGAUGGAGUAACGAGUUAUAGGACUGCUGGCCCAAUUAGAUUCAGCAUAUUCGACUAGAGUAAGAGAACUUGAUGCAGAAAAGAAUAAACUUUACCAACGCUACCUUUAAGAUAACGAAGAAGUAUCAUGAAGAUUUCACAAAUUGACUGAGAGUAUUUACAGCUUAUCGAAUGUCAGGUCAUUUUAUGGUCAGAUAUAAAAGACGACUCAUGUAUUUAUGAUAGAUUAUCGAAUCGGGAAGGGGAGUGCCAUCUCUUGGUUGUAAAUGAAGAUAUUGCUUUGUAGAAAAAUUUGAAGGUCCAGAAUUAACCAUACCAGAACCAAAUAAUAUGUCGAGAGUAUUUGUUGACAUAAAAAAUUUCUUAUUUAGAGCUAUAGAUUGUCAAGAUUGAGCAAGAAAUAUUUUUAUGUUCGAGAUGACAUCAUUAUUGUUUUCAAUGAUAAUGAUAUCAUUGACAUGGACAAGAACAAAAGUAGAAGUCUGAUCACAAAUAUAUAAAAAGAUUAGUUUGAAAUAGAUUGACGAAAACCUCGACGAGUAAGAGUGGUUGAGAAUUCGUAGAACCAUUGACAAGAAAUCUGUUUAGACAAUAAAAACAUUUAUUUAAUUUGCAUACACGAUUCUCUCCCUUGCGAGAAAAUUUGGAAAUGAGUCUCAUUUAAACUUUUCAUUGAGAUCUCCUCGGAGAAAAGUAUUGUUGACAUUAAUGGGCUCAAUGACCAAUUUUUAGUGGCAACAAUGGGACAAAGAAGAUGGACAAAUACUAGUUUGGACACAUGUGCAUAGGUAUCAUGAAAAUCGAUGCCUUCAACUGGAGUUAUAACCUUUGACAUCUAAAUGAGCUAUAUAUUUCAGCAGAAUCAUCAGAUCGAUAUUCAAUUUUAUAGAUCCAUUUACAACCAAUGGGUGAUUUUCCUUUGGGAAGUGAGCAUAAAGAUCAUUUUAGGCAAUUUGUUAUCAAACGACCCCCGGGCAAUGAUAUAACAUUGAUUUUAUUUAUUAUCAAUCUGCCUUGGCUAUAUGAUUGAAUUAUAUGUCCACACUAUUAUCGAGACAAUCCUACCCACAUCUCUAUGGAUCGUUAGAAGAAACCUAUUUUAAUAGUGUUGCUCCUAGUUUGUCCCACUUACUUGGAAGGCUAUGGUAUUAAUUUGGAGCCCAUUACCUUAUGUUGAGCCUUGUUUGGUCCACUAAGCUAACCUAACCUAACUUACCAUUUUUGGUCACUCAUUUGGCUUAUAAUUUUCGGCCCCUCUUCGCCUCCACUGUGAAGAAUACUCCAUCUCUCACUGUGACUUUGAUUAUUGAUUUCUUCUCUUCAUAUAACUUGUGUGGUUUCUCAUGGGCAAUCAAUUGUUCUUCAUGUUGGCAAACUCUUUGUGAGUAUAUAUAUAGCAACCGGAGGUGGGAACAAAAGGGUGAAAGUUGGGCGUUGUCUCGACUGGUGGUUUUGUUGACAUAUUGUGGAAACUGAGCCUGAUUUUACCUUGGUUAUUGCUGGAAUUUGACCCUCCAAUUGGUAUCAGAGCAACCGGUCAUCUCUUCCGGCCAGAAAUCGACCAAAACGGCUGCGGGUUUCGCGAUUUCUUCAAAGGGACCGAACCUGCAAUUGCUUAUUUUGACCAAACGCGACCUCCGUUGGACGAACAUAGGCCGGAUCCAUAACCAGUAGGUGGAGGCACCUCCGGUGGUGAGGCGCGUGGCUGCGGCGACCUGCAGCGGGCGGGCGGCGACGCGUGGUGGUUCGACGGCGACGCGUGGAGGACCUCUUGUGUGGUUUUUCUGUGCCAUUUCACUCAUUUUGAUUUCCUGAACGUAGUAAUGUGUUUGAUUUAGUGUUUCAGGUUGUGUAGAAAAGAUUGGACGAUUUUGCCCCUAUCUUCAAUUUGCAUUUAUUGCUGAUCAGAAUUGCUGUAUUUGCUGAAUCUUUAGGACGAAUAGUGGUGACCCUAAAGCAGCAAAUUCACAUCUCUCCACGUUACGGACUCAGAUAGGUCCGUUCUGGUAAAUUGGUUGAAACUUUUAUAUUUUUGCGCUAGCAAAUCAUCGCGUGGGGUGAUCAUUAGGUUUGGGGACAAUCAUUGUUUGUGCUAGAAAUUAUGGAUACUUGCUCUUAAUUGUUUGAUUGAGUAUUUGUUUUUGAGUUAAAAUCAGUUUGUAAUUCUUAGUGAUCUAAUUACUUUGAAACUAGUUAUUUGCUAGAUGUAUCAUUUGUUGCAUUAUUACUUCCGCUGCUUACUUAUUUCGUUAGAACUACCGUGACCUUACCCGUUCGAACAUUCCCUUGAUCUAAGAUCGCGAGUCUUACGAAACCCUGGGAAUCUAGAACGGUGUAUACUGUCUGUGACCCUAGAACUACUUUGUGUGGUUUUAUUUGUGGUUUGUGCAUUCUUUGACUGUUGUGUAAAGGAGACAACUCACAACUUUGAUUUGAGAAUUUUUAAUGAAAAUGGUGAUUUUGCUAUUUGGCAACAAAAAAUGAAGGGCAUUUUAGUCCAACUAAAUGUUUCAAAGGCCAUUGAAAGCAAUUUUUCAACUGAUUUUUUAUAAGAACAAAUAGAAGAAGCCGAUGAGCUUGCUUAUACCUCAAUCAUUUUACACUCGUCUGGCGUCAUUUUAAGAAAGGUGGGUAAACUGAAAACCGCUAAAGAACUUUGAAAAAAAAUUAGAAGACUUAUAUUUACUUAAUUCUACACCGAAUAAACUUGCUCGAACAUUUUUUCAGUUUUAAAAUGGAUCCUUCAAAGGAUCUUGAUGACAAUUUAGACGUGUUUAACAAAUUGGUGCAAGAUAUAGUUAAUUGUGAUGAGAUUGUGUCCGAAACUUAUAAGGCUAUAAUUUUGCUCAAUGCAAUCCCUGAUUCCUAUAAAAAAGUUAAGAACGUUGUUAAGUAUGGUAGAGACACGUUGACACCUGAAAUUGUUAUAGAUUCCCUUAGAAGUAAAGAAAUGGAAAUUAGGGCUGAAAAAUAGGUUAAGAGGAAUUGUGAGAUACAUAUGAUGCGGGUUAGAACUCAAUUUAGGCAAAAUAAUCUUGAUGGAUAUCAAACUAGUGGCGAGUCAAGUGGUAAUAGAUAGAAAAAGAAGAGCAAAGGUAGGUCUAGAUCAAAAUCUAGGACUAAGGUGAGAAAAUGCCAUGGUUGUGAAAACACGAGGCAUUUUAUAAAGGAUUGUCAUAAGGAGAAGGGUAAGCUAAAGGUUAAAGAGAGAGAUGAGGUCAAUGUGUUAGCAUCUACUUCCGAUAUAAAUGGUGGUGAGGUCUAUAUUAUUACAAGUCCCGUUGCAUAUACAGCUGAAUUAAAUCUAAUUGCUAAUUCCCGCAUCCAUGAGUGGAUACUUGACUCUGGUGCAUCUUUUCUUGUGACGUCUGAAAGGAAUUGGUUUUAUAAGUUGCAUGAAUCUAAUGUUGGGUAUGUUGUGCUGUGUGAUAACUUUGCCUAUACUAUUGCUGGAAUUGGUGACAUAAAUGUAAAAUUUGACACAGAUUUUGUGUAUACAUUAAAGGAUGUUAGAUAUAUUUCUGAGUUGUCUAUAAAUCUGAUUUCAGUAGGGAGACUUGACAAGGAUGACUUUACUGGUAAAAUUGGAAAUGGUAUGCUAAAAAUGAUCAAGGGUGCUUUAGUUUUCAUUAAGGGAAUUAAGAAAAACGAUAUAAAUAUAUAUAUAUAUAUAUAUAUAUAUAUANNNNNNNNNNNNNNNNNNNNNNNNNNNNNNNNNNNNNNNNNNNNNNNNNNNNNNNNNNNNNNNNNNNNNNNNNNNNNNNNNNNNNNNNNNNNNNNNNNNNNNNNNNNNNNNNNNNNNNNNNNNNNNNNNNNNNNNNNNNNNNNNNNNNNNNNNNNNNNNNNNNNNNNNNNNNNNNNNNNNNNNNNNNNNNNNNNNNNNNNNNNNNNNNNNNNNNNNNNNNNNNNNNNNNNNNNNNNNNNNNNNNNNNNNNNNNNNNNNNNNNNNNNNNNNNNNNNNNNNNNNNNNNNNNNNNNNNNNNNNNNNNNNNNNNNNNNNNNNNNNNNNNNNNNNNNNNNNNNNNNNNNNNNNNNNNNNNNNNNNNNNNNNNNNNNNNNNNNNNNNNNNNNNNNNNNNNNNNNNNNNNNNNNNNNNNNNNNNNNNNNNNNNNNNNNNNNNNNNNNNNNNNNNNNNNNNNNNNNNNNNNUAUAUAUAUAUAUAUAUAUAUAUAUAUAUUACUACUGGGGAAGUGAUCAGAGGUAUGAACCCCUCUAUCUCCUCUACCAAGAUUGAUCACACACAGAUGGCAUAAUAGAAUUGCUCACACACACAUGGCAUAAUAGAAUUGCUAACGUAGGCGUCAAGGGACUUAAGCUAUUUAACGAAAAAGUGCUUUUGGUAAUGACUGUGUGUCUUAUUUGUCAUUUUGUAAUCAUUGUGUGCUUGGUAAAUAUCAUAAAACUUCUUUCUCCACGAGUGUUAAUAAAGCUAAAGGCAUGCUCGAAUAUUUGCACUCUGAUCUAUGGGGUCCUGCUAGUAAUCCCACAUCGGAUAGGAAUAUGUAUUUCCUAUCUAUUAUCGAUGACUACACUAGAAAGUGUGGGUUUAUCUUUUGAAGGAUAAAUCUGAGACCUUUAAUAGUUUUAACAAUUGGAAGAGACAAGUGAAAAACCAAAAUGGCAAGAAAAUCAAAUUUUUAAGGACAGAUAACGGCCUAGAAUUCUGCAAUAAGGAAUUUGAUAGUAUGUAUAAAGAAAGCGGCAUAACUAGAUAUAAGACCGUUCCUUGCACUCCUCAGUAAAAUGGGGUAGCAGAAAGGAUUAAUAGGACCAUACUUGAUAAAGUAUGUUGCAUGAUGAUAAGUUCUAGUGAUUCCGAGUCAUUUUGGGGAGAGGCUGUUAUGACUGCUUGUUAUUUGAUUAACCUGACUCCUUUUCCUGCAUUGAAUGGUGACACUCCGUCUGAGAGAUGGUCGGGUAAACUGAGUGAUUACUCGAUGCUUAGAACUUUUGGCUGUAAAGCUUUUUCCCAUCAAAGUGAGGGUAAGCUAGAGCCUAGAGCUAGGAAAUGUGUCUUUCUAGGAUACCCCGAGGGUGUUAAAGGUUAUAGGUUAUGGGAUAGAAGCCAAAAAGGGGUUCAAAUCAUCAUAAGUAGGGAUGUCACGUUUAACGAUAAUGAGAUGCCGUGUAUUAAAGGAAAAACUGAACCUGAGAGUGAAACUGAACCAGGUGAAGAGAGAGACCCGUUUAAGGUGGAGUUAGGAAAGCUCAGUACACUUACCCUACUACUCCUAAUGAGGUGGAGACUCAAGUUCAGGAACCUGAGGUGGAGAAUAGUAACGAAGUAGUGAUAGAAGAGCACUAUGAGAAAGAAAAUCCUUUAGCUAACUACAACUUAGUUAGGGAUAGAGAAAGGAGACAAACGAGAGAACCAAGAAGGUUUGGUUUUACAUCUUAAUUAGCUUUUGCCCAGGCUAGUUAUGAAGAACUAGCUGAUAAAGAGCCAAAAACCUUUGAAGAGGCAAUAUGCAGUGAUCAAUCUAAUAAAUGGCUUAAGGCAAUGAAAGAAGAGAUGAGUUUUCUAGAAAAGAACCAUACUUGGGAGUUAGUACCUAGGCCUAAGGACAAAUUGAUUGUUGAUUGCAAAUGGGUCUUUAAGAUUAAGGAAGGUACUAGUAGCUUGGAACCCUUAACCUUAAGGUUUAAAGCUAGGUUAAUAACUAAAAGCUACACACAGAAGGAGGGCGUUGAUUAUAAUGAGAUUUUCUCACCAGUUGUUAAGUACACCACUAUUAGGAGAAUUGGUUGCACACUUUCACUGGAAACUUGAUCAACUUGACGUAAAAACUGUUUUUUUACACAGUAAGCUUGAUGAACAAAUCUUCAUGAAUCAACCAAAAUGUUUUAAGUAUAAGUUAAAACCUGAUUGUGCGUGUUUUCUAAGAAGAUCCUUGUAUGAAGUAAAACAAUCUCCUAGACAGUAGUACAAGAGGUUUGAUUCCUUUGUACUCACUAUAGGGUUCCAAAAAAGUAAAUUUGAUCACUGCUUGUAUUUUCAACACAGUGAGACUGAUGAUAAUUAUCUAUUUUUGUUGCUCUAUGUGGACGACAUGCUUUUGAUUGGAUCAUCCUUUAAGUCGAUAAAUAACAUAAAAGCAAAACUAAGUGGUGAAUUUGACAUAAAAGACCUAGGUAAGGCUAAGAGAAUCCUAGGUAUGGAAAUAGAAAGAGAUAGGUCAAAUUUCGUUUUGUUUUUGCAUCAGUUUCCAUACAUAUCCAAAGUAUUGAAGAAAUUUAAUAUGAGUGAUUGCAAACUUGUUACUUUGCCUUUGGCUAAUCAUUUUGUUUUAUCGAAGGAACAAUCCCCUUGCAAUGAGCGUGAAGUAGAAUAUAUAAGUAGAGUUCCUUACUCUAAUGUGAUUGGUUCCAUAAUGUAUUUGAUGGUUUGCACUAGAUCGAACUUAUGUUUUGUUGUUAGUACUCUCAGUAGAUACAUGGCUAAUCCGGGCCCUGAACAUUGGGAAGCGCUAAAGUGGCUAUUAAAGUACUUAAAGGGCACAAGUGACGUAGGUUUAAAGUUUAGUGCUAAUAAAAAAGGUAUUAAAUUAAAGGGUUUUGUAGAUGCUGAUUACGCGGGAGAUAGGGAUGGUAGGAAAUCCACUUCAUCUUACGUGUUUACCUUAUCUAAUUCAUGUGUUAGUAGGAAAUCAAAAGUUACAACAUAUUGUUACACUAUCCACUACAGAAUUAGAAUAUAUAGCUAUCACUGAAGCUAUUAAAGAAGUUCUAUGGCUUAGAGGCCUUCUUCAUGAACUAUAUGUCUUGAAUGAUUAUGUGGUAGUGUAUUCUGAUAGUCAGUCAUCUAUACAUUUGUGCAAGAACCCCGUUUUUCAUGAGCGCACUUAACACAUUGAUGUUAGACUCCACUUCAUUAGAGAUAUAGUAUCUCAAGAGGUGGUAAGACUUGAAAAGGUCCACACCCACUACAACCAUUCUGAUAUGGGGGACGAAAGUACUGUCACUGGCAAAGUUUAGAAGUUGCAAGGAACUUCUAAACAUUGGUACAGGUAAAUGAUUUUCAGUUUUAUUGAUUUUCUAUUAGAGGUGUCACUAAUGGGAGACAUUUUAUUUUGCAGGUCCUUGACACCAAGGUGAAUGUUGUUUGGCAAUUUGUUGUCAAACGACCCCCCAGACAAUGAUGUAACAUCGAUUUUAUUUAUUAUCAAUCAGCCUUGACCAUAUGAUUGAAUUAUAUGUUGACACUAUUAUCGAGACAACCAAACCCCCCAUCUCUAUGGACCGUUAGAAGCAACCUAUUUUAAUAGUGUUACUCAUGGUUCGUCCCACUUACUUGGAGGGUUAUGGUAUUAAUUUGGAGUCCAUUACCUUGUGUUGAGCCUUGUUUGGUCCACUAAGCUAACCUAACCUAACCUACCAUUUUUGGUCACUCAUUUGGCUUAUAAUUUUCCGGCCCUCUUCGCCUCCACUAAGAAGAAUACUCCAUCUCUCUCUGUGACUUUGGUUCUCGGUUUCUUCUCUUCAUAUAACCUGUGUGGUUUCUCGUGGGCAAUCAAUUGUUUUUUAUCUUGGCCAACUCUUUGUGAGUAUAUAUAUAGCAACCGAAGGUGGGAACAAAAGGGUGAAAGUUGGGCGUUGUCUCGACCGGCGGUUUUGUCGACAUAUUGUGGAAACUGAGCCCAGUUUUACCUUAGUUAUUGCUGGAAUUUGACCCUACAAAUCAAAUAUUGUUUGAUUUAGAGCCUGAAUUUCUUUUGGCCAUGGCAUCAUGCCAUUUGCCAAAUUUCAUGGCUCGAGAAUAAAAUUUUGGUUCUUGAUUUUCAAUGAUAUUAGUUGGGAAGACACGACGAGAAUGGCUUAAAUGGGACAAAGAAAAUUAAUUUGCAACUGAACAACUAGUUGUGAAUGAAAGAUGAUUACAAAUAUAAUCCUUGAGAUAACAGGCGACAAAUUUGUUAAGGGUGAUUAUUAAUGAUAGGAACAUGUUACAUUGAAGGGAAAUUAGUGCAGGUAAUGUCAUUAGAAUUAGUGGGAGAAUUGGUUCAGCUAUCAAGCUGAGACGAUAUGGGAAUAGGCACUAGAGAAUAAUUGAUAUAAUCAAUGAGAUUAUAAGAGAUAGAAUUACUCGAACAAACAUCAGUGGAAACAAUCAAAGGUGUAGUAGAGUAGUCAAAUGUUCUAUCAUCGUUAAUUGGACUAAUGGUAAUUGAAUUUUUUAAUGAUGAAGAUGAAAGAUCAUGACAUGGAAAAAUUAACUAAUAAAAUAUGACAUCAUGAGAAAUAUAGAUUUGAUGACUUUUGAAAUCAUAUGUGCAAUAUCCCCUUUGACAAAACGAAUAAAAAACAACAAUACCAUGCUUGGUUAACUCAUCAAAUUUAUGUUGAAUAUUCAUGUUUUUAAGAAAUAUAAAUAUUCGAAAACUCAAAGAGAUGAAUUUGAUGGAACAAUUCCAAGUAAUACUUGAUGAGAUGAUUUAUAUUUAACAAUUGGAGUUGGAAAGUUUGUUAAUAAGAAAGGAGCAAUGAGAAUACAUUCAAAAGAAAUAGUUAAGUUUACUUAGAAUUGUAAAGAUGUAGCAACAUUAGAUAGAUGCCAAUGCUUACGUUCUACAAUGACAUUUUAUUGGGGGUCGCAACGAACCUUCAUUUGGGAAUAAUUUCAAUUUCAUGAAACCAUGUUUGAAUUUGUUUAGAUAGAAAUUCAGAACCAUUAUCUGAACGAAUGGUUUAAAGUAAAGAAGGAAAAUGUCCCCAUUACUUGAGUUGAUAUGAGAAAUUUUUGUGUUCAAUUGACGAUUAAUUAAUUUAAAAAAAAAUGAAUUUACAUGUUGAAAGUUUUCAGAUUUAUGUUUCAUUGAAUACAUCCAAGUACCCUCGUAUAACCAUCAAUAAUAGUUAAAAUGAAACAUGAUACAUUUUUAGAAGAAAUAAAAAAAAAUCACCCCAAGGGUUAUCAUGAAUCAAUUUGAAGCAUGAGAAGAAUAAGAACUACUUUGAGAAAAAGAUAGACGCUAUUGCUUAGCAUGUGUAAAUACAUCACAAACAAAAUCUUUACUUGCAACAAUAAUUGAAAAAAUUUUAGUUAUGAAAUCAAAACAAGGCCUAGAAGGACGAUCAAUGUGAGAAUGCCAUAGGUUAAACUUAUUACAAUGCACAUAAGAAAAUCAAAAUCUACAUCUAGAUAAAAAAAGACCAUUUAGAGCACUACCCCGACCAAUUUUCUUCUUCGUUGAUCGAUCCUAAAAUGUAAAAUCAGAGGAUAAAUAUAAUUGUGAAAUAGAUAAUAAAUUGAAUUUAAAUAACGGAAUGUGAGAUACAUUCGUGGGAGUGAGUGAUGAUGAACAAUGACCUGUGCUGAUGUGUGUCAUAGAUGCUUGAGAACCAUCGUCCAUCGGGCAAUUGAAUUGAUACACUUGUGUGAAUGGUAGAAUACGAAGAAAAGAAUGAAAGAGAUGUACAUGUAUGAUUAGAAGCGGCUGGAUCGACAAUCCAACUAGAAGAUAGACAAGAGUUGUAUCUACCGAAUGGAUUGAUGAUCCACUCGAUUCUUCUUUAGUCAGAAAAGCAAAAAGCUUGUUGUAUUGUUUAGGUUCAACUGGCUAGCAAAAGUAGUAGAAGUAAAUGGUUGUGUUUGCUUAUAUGAUGAAUGGCAUAAGGGUAUGAUUUUGGGUGGUAAUUGAAGAGGACAUCGUAGACUUUUCAACGGUAUCAAAAUUCGACAUUCUUGGUGGUUGGAAGUUGUCGAAAAGUUGCCGCAAAAGUCGCCCAAUUAUUUGAAGAGACGAGUGGUGGAUGAGUAACCAUAUGAAAAGAUGAGUGAGCAUUCAGUAACCUGUGAAAGAUGAGUGAGCAAGUAGUAACAAGUUUAAAGUUCAGUGAUUAUUGGUCAAAUUUACUCACCGAAUCAUUACAAUGUUCCCAGAUGGAAACAUCAUAUUUCUCCUUUGGAAUUGGGAUUAACCCAUUAACAGAACCAAACUUGCUUUUUGUAUGAUUUGCCAUUGUUACUCCUGUUGGAAAUGGUGUUUAUUAAUAAACCAAUUCAAAAAUGAAUGAGAAAUUGUUGUUUUGGAAUAGUGGCACCUGUUUGGAAGGUUGCAUGGUUUGGCUCAAAUCCUUUCAUCACACCACUCCAUUCUCUAUAUAAAGGACCCCUUGGAUGACUUUGAGAGUACACCAUUCUUCUCAAAAUUGCAAUUCUCUUCUUCUUCAUCUCUUUUUAUAUAUUAUAUUCCUUGUAGAGGGGAAACUCCGUCGAAAGUUCGCCGGAUUUGUGGUUUGAAGUGCUACUACCACAAAUCGAAUCCGUUGUAUCUUGGGAGACAAUUGCCGCCAACCGUGAGCGCCGUAGCGGGGCAAUAUUGUCUUAAGGAGAGAGUGAAUACACUUGCCUCGGAUUUAAUCUUCGUUUUCUAUUCCUUCUUAUUUUAAUUUUCUUAUUUGAUUUUAUGGUUUUGUACUACAUUUCCAUUUCAUA